UUUGUGUAGUUUUUUUUUUUUUUUUUUUUUUUUUUUUUUUUUUUUUGCAAUCAGGAUGUCCCUACUUUGAAGUGAUUUUAGUUAUUGAAUAUCAUUGAGUUCUAAUCAUGAAAUCAUCACUCCUGAUUGUUUGGUCAUAGACAAGAAUACAUAUCUAAGCAUGAAAUCAACACUAUAGUUGGGCUCAUACAUUUGUACUGUUUGUAACCAAGUAAUUUGUACUGUUCUUUAUUUCUCCUACACAUUUUUUUUUUUAAUAUCCGUGAGUAUCCAAACCAACGUAUGCACAUCUUGACCAAUUUCAUAAGACACAACCUGCCUAACCUUACAACAUUUGAGUGCCAAGGAAACUCAUAGGAAAUUAAUUUCUAGGUAGAUAGCUGUCAUAGAUUGAACCCAUGACCUUUUAGUUAGUUUCCUACAAAUUUAUUAUUAAAUUUAGGUUAUACAAAUAAUUUAGAUAACAUGACAUCAAAGAGAACAUGUCCAAACAACCAAAUCCUGCUCCUGAUUGCUAUUUUUGUGUUUGCCCACUAAAAGAGGCAUGCAACAAGCUUACUUCCACGUACAUGCCUGGCGAAUACCAUACACUUCAAGUGACAACACUCAACACAAGGGUCACGUUAACUUCCACAGUGACAUUAGUUUUUCGUUACAAAUUAACCAAAUAGUUAACAUGCGGAAACCAAAUUUAUAAAUUUAUCAAAGCAUGAUAACUAAAUAUUAAAAAAUAGAAGUACAAUACGUCAAUACCAAAACAUUCCAAAUCACAAAACUGAGGCUAGAGGUGGAAUUAAACUUUAACCUUUGCAUGGAUUAAAUACGUAGAUCAUACCAUUAGCAUUUUAUUUUGACGUUGUAACUCCCUGCAUAGUGACUCCAACUUGUCCCGGACAACAAUAGCUGUGCAUAGAAAAUGAGGACAUUAUAAAUUCAUAGCAUGGCAUUAAAAAACUAAGCAUCAAUCAGAAUGCAUCCAAUUUGAAUAUGAAAGAACAAAAAAAAAAUUCUGAGAGAGAGAGAUGACAGAUGACAGAAUAUUCUUUUGCUAUCAGGAUAUUCAAAUCUUUCACCUAAAUGAAAUAAUAAUAUAAUAAAGUGUCAAUAAAUCCCACAAAGUUUUCUUGACCUCUAAAUAAUUGAAUACAGGGAUUAUAAUACUAUAAAAAAAAGAAUCUGAAAAGACAAAUUGCAAAAAACUCUUCAGUGACCAAACAUAAGACCGAUAUAAACUGCAGCAUUGUGGAUUAUUUUCAGCUUGAUACUAUAACAAAGUAACAAAAAGGUGACUUUUAAAGAAAAUAUACAAGCAACUUUUCAUUGCGGUCGGCUAAAAUGAAAAUUUUCACUUUCAAUCUGAACUGAAGCUAGAGGUUUUACUCAAGAUAUAGGGGGGAAAAGACUCACUCAGCUUAGAAUUUUAUAAAUGAAAAAUCCUUUUGAUUUUUUGAAACAAUUGUCAAACAUCCAGAAAAUCUAAUAGCAAUCAAAGUUCAUACUAGUCUUGUCUUCUAGAGUGCAGGUAGUAUAGAGCUUAAUUUGUUGUUAUACACCGACCUUUUGCACAAAAUGAAUAGCCCACAUGAAUCAUCAUCUGGAAUAAAUAUAAAAAGAACUUGAAAAACAGACAGUAGAGCUUAAUUUGUUGUUAUGCACCAACCUUUUGCACAAAAUGAAUAGCCCACAUGAAUUAUCAUCUGGAAUAAAUAUAAAAAGAACUUGAAAAACAGACAGUAUUGAAAAAGUGAAAAUUUUCAUUUGUUCACUUCUUUACUUGCCUGAAUCUCUUUCUGCAAGAACUUGCUGAUACUUUAAAGUAAAUUCAAGAAACUCCUUUUCUGACUUAAAUGUACGCUUUGGAUUCUUGCGUUUGAGUUCAGCACUUUCCUGAAAGUUAUUGCAACUUAGUAACCCAAAGAAAUUUAUGGCCUUUAAAUAGAAUGGAAAUAUGGGGAGAAAAGUGACCCACAUUUCAAUCCAAUGAAAAGGCCAUUAUUAACUACAACAAUAAAACUAUCAAAGGUCUUUUCACAUUGAUGCACGAUAAAAUUUAUUGAUGGGUAGGGGGAGGACAGAGAUAUGUAUAAUAAGAAGAAGAUGACGACAAAAGAAGAAGCUACUCCUGAUGUCCAGUUCAAGAGCUAAUUUGAAAAUUAUUUUAGUACAACAAUUGUGGGGAUGGGGGAUCGAACCUCCCACCACCUCAAGGAUGAUAGGUCAUGCCAAUUAUCCUUCAGCUAAGCUCACUUUGGUGAAUACUUAAUUGUACUUUGGGUGGCACAUUGAAUCGGUAUUGUUUAUCAAAGAAGUGACAGGAUGCAUUAAUUUCCUAGAUCUAGCAUUAAGCUAACAAAUACAAAAUUAAGAUCAAAACAAAUAAUGUCCAUGCUAAAAUGCAACUUAACCAAGGAAGCAAUGCAAAUUACUCACAUUUUUCGUAGUUUGAACAACCUUUGUCACAGACAUUUCCUUCUCAUGUGCUGUUGAUGCAUCUAACCCUACACCAGUGGCUGAAAGAAGUAAUAAAUAGAUUUUGGUAAUAGGUAUAGCAAAAAUGUGAGCUCCAUGCUCAUUUACACAUCUCAGACCAUCUUCCAGAAAUCGACUCAUCCAAAAAACUUCCAGAACGUUUCAUAUUCUAGAUGGGUGACUUUCUGAACUUGUGACCUCAAAUACGGCAUUUACACUUUGCUUACCCCUAUGACCAAUGGGUCCACAGUUAUUGCGGAAAACAAGACUAAACAAAUUAAUUAUUAGACGGCCGUGUAUUUUACGGUAGGUGAUAGUGCCUACCCUUCCUGUAUUUGAAACAAAAGACUCCAAGCCACUUUUUGGCAUCCAUGAGAAAGAAGCCAACAACGGGUUGAUGUUACAAUAUAAAUGUUCUACUAUGUCACUGAUAUUAGAGAGUUCAUUUUUUUUUAAUGAAAAUUUUAUUCAGAUAAAAAUAAAGAAUACACAGGCAUACAAAAGACUAACCCACAAAGGAGUCCACCUAAAUGGAGGGACUCCAACUCUACAAAAUAGACAAAGUUUCUUCGUAACCAGUUGUUGUUAUGUUUAGUUUAUAUGUCAGUUAGUUAGUCUCAAUUGUAUUAAUAAACAGUCAAGCAGUUGUUUCUAAGCUCUGUUUAAGAGAGUUCUCUGUAUUCUUCUGAUUAAGUAGAUAUAAUCAUAAACUUCGUCUCUUCUAAGUCUGUUAAUUGGAAAAUCAAAACUAAAUUUUCUAAUAUUUGCUAAUUGAUAACUGCCUCAUAGACAUGAAGGACAAGAUCUCUUUUGGCAUCCUUUUCAAAUUUUAUUUUCCCACAUGCUAGUCUCAGCAUUGCUGCAUUUCUCUACUUCUUCUAGUCUUAUUAACAUGAACAUCCAUUCCCUAAGCACACAAUUUUUAGCACCCUACCACAUUCUUGAAUAAAAUUAUUUCUUAUCCAGCAAAAAGAAGGAUGAAACAAAGGAAGGCCAUGUUUAUAUUAGUUCAUCAGUAUUCUGAUUUAGAUCAAUAAUAAUAACAAAGAGUGUGAGCUGCAAGGUAAAUAAACGCACCCUUGUCUGAACUUUGAGACUCGCCUUGAGCUUCUCCUUUUAAUUUUCUGCCGCCAGACUCGUCAAUUGCAGCCUCAUUAGAAGUUUCUUUUACAUUAAGAAUGUCAGUUUCUGCUAGUUCCAUACAACCCUUACCAGCUGUCUUUUCCAAACUCUCCAAAUUAUUAAAUUUUUCUGUUUCAGAUGAAGCAACAGUUAAAGUUUCCAACUUUUGAGUAUUCUCUGAACUACAUUUCUCAAUUUCAACAUUUUCCAUGAUCUCAUGCCUUUGACCAUCGGAAAAAUCAGAUUCUGGUGAAGUUUUUCGUUGGGAAUCUAAUGGCUUUGCUUCUUCAAAAUUCUGUGUUGAAGGUGUUUGAGUUUCUGCAGAGCUUUCAACAAAACCAUCUGGCAGUGAAUCUACUUCAGGAGGGUGAUUUAGACCUGGGUUCUCCAUACCACCUACAUGUUGAACAUUGAUAGUAAGAAUUUUCAUGUAACUCAAUAUGAGAACAUCACAUAUGGUCGGUUAAAAAAAAUCAAAUCAAAAGAUUCUAUCAGUUUUGAUUUAAGCAACAUCACGUACUCAAUUCUAAGCCUUAUCCACACACCAUGAGCUAGUGCAAAGCUCCCAGCCAAUUCGAGAAGUUUAGUAAGCUCUCCCCUUUUCUCUGAGAAUUCUCUACAGACAAAGUAUAAAAACAUAAUAACCUACUCUCCCAUACAUACCAAUGUAUAGCCCUCACUUGCAAAACAUUUUGAUGGGUGGUUUCUCCCUCCUCCCUGACGCAAAACCAACUCCAGCCCCAAACUAGCUAUCGUACUCCUCCAUCAAUGUUGAAUCGGGAUUGGUGGCCUAACACCUUCACAUGAUUAAAUCCGACUAUCAAAUAGCAUGGAGUUUCAAUUCAAAAUCAAAAAGCAAUAAGAGGAGUUUCACAUAUAUCUUAUAAACAUUGUGAGGUCCCUCCAUUUGUCCAAUAUGGGAUCCUCAACAUGUCCUCAAAACAGUACCUCUUAAUGGGUUCAUCAAUCUAAAAUGGUACCCCUUCAUGGGUUCAUCAAUCUUGGAAUUGGACGAAAACAGAAAGAGCAAAAUGAAAGAGCAAAACUGAAGCAAAGUAGAAUCAAAGCUGGACGAAAACAGGGUCGGAAUUGGACAGAAGUGUUUUGUCGGAUCAAAAUGGAACCGAACGAACUAAACUAGAGCAAGUCAGAAUCAAAUUAAACGGGAAAUCUGGGGAGAACAGAACGGAAGCUGAACUGAAUGGAGCAGAGAGGCUUAGCGGAUCUGAACAAAAACAGAAACGAGGCGUCGUUGGAUCUGGGCUUCGAUCUAAACUUUGAAGGCAGACAUGAAGGAUGGGUCUGAACGAAAUUAGACAGAUCUGGAACAGAUUGGAGGCAGACGCGAGGAUCUGAGGACAUGGGGUUUCAUGGUUUUGUUGGGACAGCGUAAGGAGAUGGAGCAACGACAACGAAACGCAGCGGCGAGCGGAGCUUCUUGGAUGACGGAAAAAACUGAAACUCUUCGGCUGGGCGUUCGGCUUCAACUGACAGAGGUUCAAUCGGUUGCUUGGCUAACGGAAAAACAAGAGGUCGGACGAAGAACUAUGAAGGAGAUGGCCGCCACAGACGCUAGUGAAAAACGAAUGGGGUUUCUAGGGUUUGGAUGGUGGCAGAUUUGAACAGCAAUGAGUGACAAAGGGAAGGUGCAACGACAACGGCAAAUUUGCAGAUCUAAGGGGCGGCUUCAGCUAAUGGGAGAUGAUUCUGCCUCCGUUGAUGAAUUAUCAACGGAGGCAGAGAUCAAACGGGAUGUGAAGGCUAGAAUUCAAUAAGGCGAAAACCCUAGAACUCUGAUACCAUGUUGAUUUUAUGGAAUUAAUCUAUAUUUCAUUCAUUAUUUAAUAGAGAUAUAGAUUAAUUCCAUAAAAUCAACACAAACCAAACUUUCCCUCACCACUAUCCUACCAGAAACCCUAUCCCACUAUCAUCUUGGUGUUGGUAACCUCCAUAUCCAAUCAAAAUCCGAAGUUGGUUAGUCCUCGGCCCAAUUCAAACCAAGAGUGCAGGAUACCACCAAAUAACAAUUGGCUAUAUUUCAACAAGAACUUGCAGCUUUUGGAGUCCUUACACACACACCAAGUCCUAGCAUUCUGACCAACUUGCCAAUGUAUUUCAAGAAUCCGAUAACUUCAUUCCCUAAUUUGUCUUCCACUUACAUAUCUGGUUCUGUGGCACAAAAUAAAGGAGUCUUUGCAAGGGAGAAGUUGAAUGGACAAAACUACUUCUCUUGGUCACAAUCUGUUAAAAUGAUCCUUAAGGGGCACUGCAAAUUUGACUUUCUGACAGAAGAGGUACCUCGACCUCCACCAAGUGAUUCUCAGGAAGUUUCUAGAAAGGGGAGGAUUGCCUCAUUUGGUCCAUGCUAAUCAACAAUAUGGAUCAACAGAUUGGCAAGCCCUUGUUAUGUGCUGCAACUGCUAAUGAUAUAUGGACAUAACUCAGAAACUUUAUUCGAAGCGUCGGAAUGCCUCUCGCCUCUACACACUGAGAAAACAAGUCCACGAAUGCAAAUAGGGGACUAUGGAUGUAACAUCCUAUUUUAACGAACUUUCCCUCAUUCAGUAGGAAAUGGAUCUUUGUAGAGAGAUUGUCUAGAACAGUCCCAGUGAUGGCAUACAACACUCUAGACUUAAAGAGGUUGACAAAAUAUAUGACUUUCUUGCUGAUCUCAACUCCAAGUUCGAUGUAGUUUGUGGUCGUAUACUGGGCCAGAGACCUAUUUCCUCCUUGAUGGAGGUCUAUUCUGAAGGCUGCCUUGAGGAGGACUGUACGAGUGCUAUGAAUAUCCUAACCACUCCCGUUAUUGAUUCCUCUGCCUUUGUGCGAGGUCCUCCACUCAUGACAAUGAGAAGAAGAACGGAAAACUUGUCCCUAUCUGUGAGCAUUGCAAGAAACAAUGACACACCAAAGAAACAGUGUUAGAAAUUACAUGGUCGUCUCCAAUGAGGUAAGAAACGUCCUCCAAACAACAAACAGAAUUCAAGGCGAGCAUGUGAGUGAAUCUGCUAGAACCUUCCAACCAUUUGGACUCCCUGAAAACCAAAAUGAUCGUAAUCAAUCCAUACUAGGAUCUAUUACUCCGUCAGGUAUGCCUCAGUCUUAGUUUAUAUGCUACUCAACCCACUCUUUUGGUCUUUCCCCGCAGAAGCAACGUAGUAAUGUCUCCACUCCUCUAUUAACGACUUUCGUUUGACCAUCUGAUUGGGGAUGAUAUGUUGUGCUUCGAUUUAGCUUUGUUCCUGCCAUCCUGACCAACUCCUUCCAAAAGUUACUUAAGAAAAUUUUGUAACGAUCGGAUACUAUAGAGUUGGGGUAUCCAUGUAAUCGAACUAUUUCUUUCACAAAUAAUUUUGUGACUGUCUCGGUUGUAUAUGAGUGUUUUAUUGGUAAAAAAUGCCCAUGCUUGCUCAAACAAUCUACUACAACAAGGAGGACUUCAAACCCCUUUGAUUUAGGCAAUCCUUCAAUAAAAUCCAUGGAGAUAUCACUCCAUAUCUUGCUCGGGAUCUCUAGGGGUACUAACAAUCAGGCAGGUGAUAGUGCUAAUGUCCUGUUCCUUUGGCACACGAGACAUUCUUCACAGUAUUUCUUUAUCACUUGCUUCAUGCCCUCCCAAUGUAAUUCUCCUGCUAUCUCUUAUAGGUUCAUAAGAAACCUGAAUGUCCUCCGAAUACAGAGCCGUGAUACGUAUGGAGGAUUGUAGGAAUUAAAGUUGAGGUAUUCGAAAUGACUAGUCAACUCUUAUACCUCAGCAUCCCUUGUUGAAUGGAAUACUUUUGCCAUUGGCCUUCCUCUCAUUUUUCUACUUCUGUCAUGACUUCCUUCAGGUGCUCACCUUUCUCCAUUUCUUCUUUAAUCACUUGUAAGUCAAUCAGGGUUGGUGCCAUCAGACUACUUAGAUGAAUAGUAGAUGGCAUCUUUGACAAUGCAUCAGCUGCCUUGUUCUCUAAUCCCAGUUUAUACAAUCCUUCAAAUGAAUAGCCUAGAAGCUUAGUUAUCCACUUUUGAUAUUGGGGUUGGGUCACCCUCUGUUCUAGUAAGAAUUUCAAGGAACGUUGGCCAGUUUUCACUAGGAAUUUCCUUCCUAACAGGUAUGGCCUCCAUCUCUGCACAGUCAAUACCACAGCCAUCAGCUCACUUUCGUACACUGGCUUAGCCCGAUCUCUUGCUGCAAGUGUGUGCUAAAGUAUGCAAUUGGUCGUUUGGACUGAAUCAGCACAGCUCCAAUUCCAAAUCCUUAUGUGUCUGUCUCUAUUUCAAAAGGGACAUUAAAGUCAAGUAAUGCCAGUACAGAGAGAGUAAUCAUAGCUUGCUAUAACUUUAGGAAGGCUUCACGAGCUUCUUCAUUCCACUUAAAUCCUCCUAGCUUCAACAAUUGUGUCAAUGGUGCUGCUAAAGAACCACAAUGUUGCACGAAUUUUUUGUAGUAGCCAAUCAACCUAAAAAGCCUCUUACUUCUCGAACAUUGGUAGAGACUGACCACUCCUUGAUGGCUCGUAUCUUUUCAGGAUCCACUUCAACACCUUGUCCUGAUAUGAUGUGCCCUAGAUAAUCCACCCUUUCUUUGGCAAAGCUACAUUUCUUCGAUUGGCGUACAAUUCGUUCUUUCUCAGUGCUUGCAAGGCUAGCCCCAACUGUUGAGUGUGUUUCCAAAUCCUUGCUAUAGAUGAGAAUAUCAUAAAAAAAACUAACACGAACCUCCUCAAGUAUGGCUUGAAUAUUGAAUUCAUCAAGGACUGAAAUGUUGAUGGCGUGUUGGUUAGUCUAAACGGCAUGACCAUGAACUCAUAUGACCUUCGUGAGUACGGAAUGCUGUUUUUUCAAUAUCUUCUCCACACAUACGGAUUUAGUGGUAUCCUGCCUUCAAGUCGAUCUUUGAAAACCACGAAUGCUCCAUUCAAGUCAUCGAACAAUUCUUCAAUGACCGGGAUAGGAAAGUUUUCUGGUAUUGUCACGUUGUUCAACACUCUAUAAUCAACGCAGAACCGCCAGCUUAUCUUUCUUCCUUACCAAUAGCACUGGGCUGGAAUACAGGUUGUUGUUGGGCCGGAUUAUCCCUGAAGUCAGCAUUUCUUCUACAAGUUUCUCCAUUUCAAUUUUUGGUUGGUAUGCAUAGUGAUAUGGCCUUACGUUUACUGGGUCAAUGUCUUUCUUCAGAUGGAUGUGGUGCUCAAUUUCUCUUCUUGGUAGUAGUUUCUCAGGCCAAGUGAACACAUCCUCGUAUUUCUUUGAAACUACAGCUACUGAUUCUUCCACUUUCAAUACUUCUUCUUCUUCUCUUAUUACUAGUCUUCCUUCAACGACGCAGCAUUCAACUAAGAAUCCUUGGUCAGAAUUAUCCCAAGUUUUCAUCAUUUUCUUCAAGCUGACCCUGGAUUUGGUUAAGCUAGGAUCUCCUUUGAUGACUACUAUUUUGCCUUUAUGGAUGAAUGUCAUAGUCAAGUUCUUCCAAUCUACUUCAGUGAUGCCCAAGGAAUACAACCACUGCAUACCCAAUACUACCUCUACCCCUCUUAACUCCAAUGGUAGGAAGUUGGCUACUACUUUCCAUCCACUCAAUACUACUUCUACUGCUUUGCAAAUCCCCUUGCCUUUCACUGUUGUGCCGGACCCCAUAGUGUGAGGUAUCUUUAGUUGCAAGUUGUAACUCUUCUACUACGUGAUUAGAGAUGAAGUUAUGGGUAGCCCCACAAUCAAUCAGAAUCACUACUAAUCUACUUCCCUUUCUUUGAUCUUUCCUUUGACCUUCGUAGUGCCUAGGUUAGAUAAUCCCACAACUGAGUUAAUGGAUAGUAUUAAACCACCAAUUCAUCCAAAAGCUUAAGUUGGUGGUUGAAGGCAAAUUUAAUUAUAUAUCACCAACACUCCCCCUCACUUGUGGGCUUGAAAUAUUUGAAAGGCCCAACAAGUGGAAAUUGAUUUUAAUUGGGGAGGAAAUGACAAUGCAGGGGCUUGAACACAGGACCUCCCUGGACCACCUGCUCUGAUACUAUAUUAAAUUUGAUAGUAUGGGGUUCCAUCUCAAAACCAAUUGGCAAUGAGAGGAGUAGCUCAUCUAUAUUAUAUGGAAUAUGAGUCCUCUUGGUUUUUCCAAUGUAAGACUUAAUAUCUCCAAUAUGCCCCCUCAAGAUGGUGUCUCUUUGGGUUCACCUAUCUUGGACCAAAUACCUGUUUGGGCUUACUAGGCUCUGAUACCAUGUUGAAAGGAGAGACAAAGAGCACACACCAAUUUACGUGGAAACCCAAGUACCGGGAGAAAAACCACGAUUGUUUGUUGUUAUUAUUCUUUAAUGAAUAAUACAAUAGGUACAAGGGAGAAUAAAUAGAGAAUACAAGAGAAUAAAAAAGGAAAAGAUUUGGAAAAUAUGGAAAAUAUUUCCAUAAACAUUCUUGGAUUCUAACAAGAAAAAUAUUUAGAAAAUAAGAAACAGAUUCCAACAAAUAGUUCUAUAACAGUCUGGUCAUCCCCUGCCACUUCUACCAUGUUCAGUUUCUUUUUUGUGUCCUCCAAGUCUUCUAAGAUCUCCCAUUCUUCAUUGUCGGUCUUGACUACAAACAUCAUGAGUUCCCUCUGCUCUUUCACCUUGCAUUUAUGGCCAUGAGAAAAUUUAUCAUUGCAACGAAAACAUAGGCCUUUCUCCUUCCUAGCCUGAAAUUCCGCAACACUCAGCCUCUUUGAUGGUCCUUCCUAAUUUUGCUUCUCCUGGCCCUACUUCUCUCAAAGUGAUGGUCCUCAUAGGUAACGUGGUGUUACCUUUGUUCUCACUGUUACUCCCACCCUAGGUUUAGAUUUCAAAAAUUUGGAAUAGUAAGAAUUACCUCAUGCGCAUCCUUGGAUAUUAGCCUCAUUACAAAUGAUCUCUCAGUUCUCCACGAGUUGUGCUAACUGCAUCAUUUGGACUAGACCGACCGUUCGGCCGAAUUUGACUUCUGCCUUGAUCCACGGUAACAACCCAUUCAAAAAGGUUUGUUCAACCACUUAAUCUUGCAGGUUGGAUAAUGGCACCAUUAACUUGUCAAACAGAUUUUGGCAUUCUUCUACCGUGGUUUCUUGUCUGAUUCUCAGGAAUUGGCCACAUAUCAAUCCUUCCCUCGCUGAUUGAAAUCGUACCAACAACCUCUGGUAUAGAUUCGACCAUCCCAUGAAUUUUUUCCGUUUUUCUUGAGCCUUGUACCAAUUCAAUGCUGGUCCAUCGAAGCUGAUAGUUGCAACCGUCAUUUUUUUAGAAUCCGUCAGCUUGUGAAUUUGGAAGUACCUAUCGGCACGAAAUAGCCAAGAGUCUGGAUCUUCACCAUUGAACACAGGCAUUUCUACCUUCUUGAAUUUAUUUCGGUCACUACUCUUAUCACCCUCCUCCUUCUCGUUUGAAUUCGGUUCUUCAUUUGAUUCCAACAUUUUCGCUUCCAUUUUGCUGGAUGCCUUUUCUAAUUCUGGUGUUGAUGAAGAUGAAUUUUUCAUCAUACUCUCAAUAUAUUUCAAAAUCUUUUGCUGCUGCGUGUUCAGUUCGUUUUGUACAUCGAUCUUCUCCAUGUGUUUCGUCAUUUUGGUUUCGAGCUCUGGCAAUUGCUGUAGGUCCAUUUUCAUGUUUGCGAUUUCUUGCUCCAUGUUUUCAAACAUUUCCUCCAUCUGUUUCAUCAUCUUUUGUCGCUUGCCCAGGAUGAUCACGCUCUAAUACCAAUAUAAUGGAACCCACACUUGAUAUCAAGGUAAACUUUAUUGAUAGUAUUCGACAACCGCUCUUAGUGAACUCAACUACCGAAUUGAGAAUGCCUCAAUUCGGAACUCUAGCUCCUUUGUUACCUUGUCUUUCAAAGGUGCACACAAGCCUAACUCACUUUCUCACUAAAAUCUUCUCUCCUUAUCUCUCUUCCUUAGCAUUUAUUUAUACUAACUCUCAACUACCCGACUUAACUGACUCUUAACUACUCGACUAACAGACUAACUAACUUUUCUUCAUCCUUCUACUAUAUUGGUGUAUGAUAGGGGGUCUAUCAGCCUCCUUUCCUUCACAACCAUAUAAACCAACCCAACCUUUCACCCUUAUCCACAGGUUUGGGGGCGCUCCAAGGUUACUACCUCUUCCACAAAACGGUGGUUUGUAACCUUAAUUAAUGAUCAUACCCACCUUGCUUGGGUUUUCCUCGUCUUUGACAAAUCUAAGGUCACUUCCACAUUCCAAAACUUCUAUCACACCGUAGAAAUGCAGUUCAACAUCAAAAUUGCAAUUUACGAAGUGACAGUGGUCGUGAGUUUCAAAACCAUACCCUUAAUGAGUUUAUGUCCUCCAAAGAGAUUGUCCACCAGAGUUUCUGUGCGUACACUCCCCAGCAAAAUGGAGUUGACGAGCGAAAAAACCACCUUAUGGUAGUAGCCAGCUCCCUAUGUUGUCUACUUCUGUUCCAUCCUAUCUGUGGGACGAUGUUGUCCUCACUGCAACUCAUCUUAUUAAUCGGACGGCAUAUCGUGUUCUCCACCUCCAGACCCCAUUAGAAUACUCAAGGAGUCUUAUCCUUCUACCUGUUUCAUUCUUGAGGUUCCCCUUCGAGUGUUCAGGUGCACGACCCACAUUCAUAGCCAUGGCCCUAACCAGACCAAGUUCACCCCUCUGGCUCAGGCUUGUGUGUUCGUUGGGUAUCCUCUUCAUCAACAGGGCUAUAAAUGUUUCCAUGGAUGUCACUUUCCUUAAGGAUCGUCCUUUCUUUCCCGUUAGUUCGCUUCAGGGGGAGAGUGUAAAUAAAUAGCCUAACUGUGUGAUUCCCUUAGAUCUACUAGUCCUACUCUCGUAACCUUACCCAACCCCAAUCCUUACAACACGGUCUUACCAACAAACCAAGUUCCCUAGAUAACCUACUAUAGGAGAAUCUCAAAAAGGGAGUUGGGUCCCCUACCAUUCAGCUGGCUAAAAUCCAAGAUUUUGAACCAUCACAAGAUCAAGGUAUGACUGAAUCUAUUGACUCAUAUGUUGACAAUAAAAUGGGUGAGAAUGACAAGUCCAAUAUAGUUGUUCCUGAAGAUACAAGUGAAAGGGGCAGUGUUGAUGAGAUUUAGGUCAUGGCAGAAACUGCAGGAGAUGAGAUUAAACAAGAUCAUUCAAGUAAUUUUGAUGAGUAUGAUCCGUCUCUUGACAUACCUAUUGUGCUGAGGAAAGGUAUCAGGUCCUGCACGAAGCACUCCAUCUGUAACUAUGUAUCUUACAAGAACCUAUCACCCUAGUUGAGAGUCUUAACAGCCAGUCUUGACUCCACCACGAUACCUAAGAAUAUCCACAUUUCCUCAGAGUGUCCUGAGUGGAAAGCUAUAGCCAUGGGAGAGAUGAGAGCCCUUGAAAAGAACAAGACUUGGAAGCUCUGUGCUCUUCCUAAGGGGCAUAAAACCGUGGGAUGUAAGUGAGUGUUUACCCUCAAGUACAAAACAGAUGGAACUCUUGAUAGAUACAAGGCCAAGUUAGUUGCAAAAGGAUUUACUCAGACUUAUGGGGUCGACUACUCUGAGACUCUUUCUCCUGUUGCAAAGUUAAAUACCGUUAGGAUCCUUCUGUCUGUUGCUAUAAAUAAAAAUUGGCCCUUAUAUCAGCUAGAUGUUAAGAAAACUUUCAUAAAUGGAGAUUUAGAAGAGGAAGUCUAUGUGAGUCCCCCUCCAGGCUUUGAAGCCCAAUUUGACCAUCGGGUUUGCAAGCUUCAUAAAUCCUUGUAUGGGUUGAAACAAUCACUGACAGCAUGGUUUGACAAGUUCACCACCUUUGUCAAGUCCAAAGGGUACAAUCUAGGACACUCUGAUUACACUCUGUUUACAGAAGUCUCCAAGUCCGGGAAGAUUGCUAUGUUGAUCGUCUACGUUGAUGAUAUUGUGCUAUCUAUAGAUGACACCGUUGAAAUUGUCCAACUAAAAAAGAAUAUGAGGGAUGAAUUUGAAAUUAAAGAUUUAGGGAAUCUAAAGUACUUCCUUGGGGUGGAGGUAGCCAGAUCUAAAGAAGGUAUCUCUAUAUCUCAAAGAAAGUACCCUCUUGAUUUGUUAAUAGAAACAGGUAUGAUGGGAUGCAGAACUGCUGAUACACCUAUAAAAUUCAAUGCUAAAUUGGGAAAUUCUAUUGAUAAAGUUCCAGUUGAUAAAGAAAAAUAUCAACACCUGCUGGGGAAGUUGAUCUACUUAUCUCACACUUGACUAGAUAUCUCCUAUACUAUAAGUACCAUUAGUCAGUUCAUGUAGACUCCUUACAAGGAACACCUGGAGGCAAGGAACAGAAUUCUGAGGUAUUUGAAAACGACUCUUAGUAAAAGGUUGAUGUUUAGGAAGACUGACAGAAGGUUUAUUGAGGCUUAUACUGAUUCUGACUGGGCAGAGUCUGUUGUUGACAAAAAAUCCACCUCUAGGUACUAUAUUUUUGUGUGGGGCAAUCUCGUAACUUCGAGGAGUAAAAGCAAAGGGUUGUGACAAGAAACGAUGUUGAAGUUGAGUACAAAGGUAUUAGUUUGGGGGUAUGUGAGGAGAUUUGGCUACAAAAGGUUUUAUCUUCUUGGUCAAGAUUAUGAGGUGCCUAUGAAAAUAUUUUGCGAUACCAAGGCAACUAUUAGCAUUGUAACAACCCAGUUAAACAUGAUAGAACAAAACAUGUGGAGAUUGAUAGACACUUUAUUAAAGAAAGAUCGGACAAUGGUAGCAUAUACAUUCCUUACAUUCCCUCAAAUCAACAAGUUGUUGAUAUUUUCACCAAUGGGCUUUUCAGACAAAGUUUGGACUCUUGUGUUAGCAAGGUGGGUUUUAUUGACAUUUACGUUCCAACUUGAGGUGAAGUGUUAGAAUUUGUGGGCUUGAUGUGUGUUGGAAUGCCAAGAGUAGUUAUGUAAAUUAUGAUUACCCUAAUUAUUUUUUUCCCUUUUUAUUAAAAUUCUUGUAUCCUAUUAGUCUUCCCCCUCUUAUAUCUUUGGUUAUUUCUCUUCAAUAGUUUGCUUGAUGAAACUUUAUAUGUAACCUCAAGAAACCAACUAAAAUAACAGACAGGAUCAACCAAAACAUUGCACUCAAGAUGCAAACAAGAAAACUUCAGCAAAAAUUUUAAAAUUUGACAGAGAAAUGGUAUACUCACGAAAACUUGCAGGAUUGCACGACGUUUACAUCCUAAAAACCCUCACAAAAUAUAAAAAUUAACGAGAAGCACCCAUUUCCUCCCUAAAACGGUCCGCGACAUGCAGUUCGCUACAUUUUCCGAGUAACAGAACAACAAAACAGAAGGCAAAGGAAAUCCUACUAUAGCAAACUGAGAAAUCAGUGCAAUUUCUGUAGAAAUUUGAAGAUCAUAGGUAGAAAAAGGGAAGAAGAAAAGGAGAGAAUUACCAGGUUGUUUAAGGGUGGUGAAGUUGAGACCGGCAGAGCGAUCUACGGUGAUCUUUCCGUGAGUUAGUCUAGUCAGUGAAGGUCCCUCGAACCGAUUUCAACAGUGUGCCUUACAACCUGAUUUUCUUGUUUUUCUUCAAAACUGUAUUUGUCCACUUUCUUUAUUUACUGAACUUUUCAAAAUAAUAAUAUAAUAAUUUUUUAUUAAAUUUUUUUUUCAACCUUUUAAUUUUGGUUAAUUUUGCAGAGAAGAAAAUUUGAUAAAUGAAGAAAGUUUGUAAAGAAAAAAAAUUUGAUAGAAGGAGUGUGUAGGAAGAAAAUUUCAUUAUUUAUCUUAUUAUCUUUACAUUUUUUUCUCUUUUAUCUUAAACAAAUCAAAUAUCAUGUUCAAAUAAAUUUAGUUGGAGGUUGUGUGUGAUAGAGAUUUAUUUUCAAUGAUUCGCACUACCUCGUUGAUAAGUAAUUUUCUUAUUUUUUUUCUCUAAUUUUAUUAUUUUCUUGAUACUUUGUUUCUCUUUUAUUAUCGUUAUUUUUUUUAAAAAAAAAUCCUUUUAACAUUUUUUCUCUCUAAAAUAUAGAAAAAAACAUAAGGAAAAUGUUUAGUUUCUUUAUCCACAGUUAUUUCUUUAUUUACAGUUAUUUCAUUAUUGUUUUUCAGUAUUACUAUUUUCUUUUCUUAUUAUUAUUUUCUUACUUUUAUUUUAUUACUAUUAAGUUUUUUCCUUUUUACUUAUUCUUAUCCUUAUUAUUGUUAUUAUUAUUAUUUAUUAUAAUAAUAAUAAUUAUUAUUAUUAUUAUUAUUAAUUGAUAAUUAUUAUUAUAUAAUAAUUUAUGGUGCCGCCAUUUCUCUCUUUUUUUUUCUUUCUUUCUUUAUAAAUUAUUUUCCUUUUUUUCUUUUUUCUUUCCUUAUUUUAUUUAUUGCCAUUAUGUCUUUUUCAUUUUUACUUAUUUACAUUACAAUUAUAAUAAUUAUUAUAAUUAUUAUAUGUGCUUAAAUUUAUGUAUGCAUAUUUUUCUUUACAUUUUACAUUGAAUUUAUCUAGACAAUAUUACCCUAUUAUUUUAUAUUAAUUAAUUAGUUUUUUUUUCUUUCAUAUUUGUCUUUACAUUUUAUCGUUCUUACACAACUCAGAUGGAAUUAGAAAUAUAUUGAAAUCUGAAUUUCUAAAUUCUUGAAGUGAGAAAAUCAGUUGUUUGAGAGUCCAAGAUCAAUCUUCAAUAUAUGUUUAAAAAGUAAUAAAAAUGGUAUCUUAUUUGUUUAAUUUACUGUGUGAUAUAUUUGAUUCUAUAUUGUGUAUUAUUUUCUAUUUGACUUAAUUUUGAAAUCUUUCUUAAACUUUUUUAACAAUUUAGAAAUAUUUUCCUUAAAACUAUUUUUUAAAUACUUUUAAAUUUUAAAUAUAAAUUUAUAUUUCAUAAGGUUUCCUAAUCAACCGUUUUUUUAAUAAUUCACAUCUAUUUUCUAAAAUAAAUCCUACGAUUGAAUCUAAAACUUGUUGGGAGUCCGAUUGAAUCUAAAACUUAUUGGGAGUCCGUUAUUUCUAGAUUCUUGAGGUGGAGGAACAAUAUUUUUUGAAGUUCGAGAUUUGAUUUCAAGAAAAAAUGAAUUUAAUCAAUGUUUUAAAAAAUCUUUAUUUGAAAACUAGCCUAUGAUAAAUUUUAAGAAAUUGUAAUAAUUUUUUCAUUUUCUUAAGGUGAGAAAUUUUCUUCAAUAUAUAGUUUAAUUAAUGAAAUAUUAUUCAACUUAUUUUAUAAGAUGAUUGCUUCAAAUAUUGGAGUAAUGAAGGGUAAAAUAAGACAUUAUUUUUAAAAUAAAUUAAAAAAUAUUUUCAAUUCUAUAUUUGAAAUUUGGCUACCGUUUUUUCUAAAUGGGUGUUGUGGGUACUAAUACAUUCCUCAUACAAAAUGACUCUCAAACUCAACUCUAUUUUACGCAGACCAUUUUUAAAAAAAAUUGUUUACUUUAUUUCGGUGUCCAAUCACUCCAUAAAAAAGAUCAAUGGUGACUCCUAUUUUCUUUUAAAUCUAACUCUUUUAAAGACGUCGAUCGCUCCGCGUUGUCUCAGGCACGUGGUGACAGCUUGGUGACUCUAUUGGGGACAUGAGACUCUACCUCGAGAGUUUGAUCAUGUUCUUCUUUAUCUUGAAUUGGUCAAAAAUCGUACAUGACAAUGACUAAAUUAAACAAACCAUCGAUCUAUACAAUGAGAUUAGCCUCAUUGUUGUCCACGCACAUUGUUCGUUGACCCUCCCUAUAACAUAUCUGUAAUGCCUCAAGUCCAGGACCUCCCUAUAACAUAUUUGUAAUGCCUUAGGUCCAGGAUUUGUCCUAGGAUUUUGAAUUCAAAUUCCUGACAUUCCCCUGCAACCUGACAUCAUUAUCCUUAUUAUUCUUUAAUGCUUAUUAGAGUGAAAGUUCUUUCCACAAACCAAUACGAAUUCUUUCAACAUGUUUUGUCCUCACUCACAUGCAUCCUAGAAAUAUUCUCAAGAUGUCACCCAACAUAGAAUUGCUUCAAAGUAAGCACGCUUAACUUAGAAGUUUCUAUAAUCAAGCCAUCGAAAAGGAAGGUACGCCUUAUUGGUAUAAGUAUUAACUAUUAAUUCUUUUUAAGUUUUUUUUUAACAUUACUUUCAUGUUCUCAGGAUCCUUCUCAUUCAGAUGUGAUAAUGGUUCAUUCAUGUCUCCCUCCUAAUCUCGAGCGUUACAAUAUUGGAGAUUGAAGUAGACAAGUCUUUGGUGCAUUCCAAACCAACCGAGUUGUCGAUGUAUUCCAAGAACCUGAUAACUUUGUUCCCUAAUUUGCCUUUGAAUUAUAUAAGUGGCUCUUUGGGGUGAUCUACAUGGAAUUUUCAAGGUGAGAAAUUAAAUGAGCAAAAUUAUUUUCAUGGUCUCAAUCAAUAAAGAUGUUCCUUGAAGGACGCCACUAGACCAGGUUCUUGACCGAAGAGACUUUUUGUCCUCCACCAAGUGACAUCUUGGAAUGAUUCUGGAAAAGAAACGACUCACUCAUUCGGUCCAUGUUGAUUAAUAGUAUGGAACCUCAAAUCGACAAGCCUCUCUUGUACACAACCACCAUAAAAGAUUUGUGGGAUACAACUCAGACCUUUUACUGUAAGCGUCAGAAUGUCUCUCAAUUGUACACAAUGAGAAUAUAGGUCCAUAAUUGCAAGCAAUGAACCCUAGGCGUGACUUCUUAUUUCAAUAAGCUCCCCCUUCUUUGGUAAGUUUGUGUAAGGAGACAGUUUAGGACAUGUCAAAUGACAGUAUACAAUAUGCUAAACUUGGGGAGACUGAUCUAAUCCCAAAUUUGAUAUUGUUUGUGGUCGUCUACUCGAACAAAAGAUCUCUUCUCUCCCUAAUGGAACUGUGUUUUGAAGUUCGUCUUGAAGAAGAUCGUACUAAUAUCAUGGGUGUACUGACUACCCCCAUGACUAACUCUGCUGUCUUUAGUGUCCAGUCCCCGACUCAUGAUAAUGACAAAAAUAAUGGAAAAAAAUCUCUAUUUGUGAGUACUGCAAGAAACAGUGGCACAUCAAGGAUACUCACAGAUAUAAAAAAAAUGCAUGGACUCCAAACAUCACUAUGAAUAAGGGUGAAAGGUUGAGUGGGUUUAUAUGGUUGCAAGGAAAAGGAAACUAAAUAUACUUACAUUUCUCUAAAUGUUUGUUUCAUUUGUCAAACAGUACAUUCAAUAGAGUUAUGUUCAUUAUCUUGUUGUAGUCUAUGAUGUCAGGUGGAGAGAGAUUCACAAACUUAAGUAACUAAUGAAAGAUACAGAGGAGUUAGCAUAGCAAUGUAUAUUUCCAUUAUAUAUUUUGAAAGACUUCCAAGCAAUCAGUACACUCCAAAUUAUUACAAAGAACAAGUACACAAACAGCUAAUAGAUGGUACAAAAUCCUUUUUCAUACAAACUUGAUUUUAAUAAAUCAAUCCCAUCAAUAAGAAAAAAAAAAUCCUUUUCACUUUUCUUUAAAAAAAAUCAAAAUCCCACCAACAAGUUGGAGGGUUUUACCAUUCAAAUUUACAUUCAAGCUCCGUCUUCCCGGGAAAAAAAUCUAAAAUAAAAGAAAAAAAGAAUAGAGAUGGAUUCUAAAUCUUACUUGUCCCUUGGGAACUUUGAUGAUGAACGACAAGAGCUUCAACAAAGAACAAAUGGCGAGAAUUUCAUUUUUUCUAAAGAAGAAGAGACUUUUGAUAGAGGAAGAGAGACGUCAGACAACAAUGAAGGAGUUAAAGGCAUUCAAUAGUCUAAUGAUGGAUAAACUGAAAACCAAACUGAACUUCAAUACUAUUACAUUUAUUAACCAGUCAAAACCAAACCGAAUCGAAUCGGUCCGAUUUGGUCCAAAGAUUCGGUUCAGUUUUUUACAUCCCCCAUGCAGAUUUACUUGCUUGAAACCUUUUACGACUUUGAAAAUAUAUAAAAAAACCACCCUCACUCUAAACUUGAACUGAUUUAACUUUCACUCUAAACCUAACAAAAAUCAAUUUGAAUCCAAAAUGAAUAACAAUAUCGUUCAAACUUUUUUGAAGUUUAGAAAGCAAAAACAGCAAAAUUGUCCCUAUCUCACUUCAUAAUUAAGUUAAGUUAUUUUGAUUUUUAGCUAAAAGUUCUAGUAGUAAUUUUAGAACCAUAAAAGAGUUUGAAUGUGAUUAAGGACCAAAACUUUAGUCCAGUAAAACAAGAUGUUUCCAAACUAUUGCAAGUUUUUUCACAGAUGCAUCUAUUUCCUCCUGUUUAUGGUACCAAAAAUACACACAUCUAAUGGAAACAUAAAGGCACUACAGACACUACACUGAAAUGAUUUGUUUCUGGUCCUACAUCAUCAGUUUGAUCUCCAUAAAUUCCUACCGAAGAAAAAUUGCUCAACGAUUUUGGAAGUCAACAGCGAGUUUUCCCUUUCAACAUACUGUAAAAGUAUAAUUACAUGAGAAAGAACAUAACAAUUAAGGGUUAGCUUGUUACCAUUGGUCAACACGAGAGCUUCACAUAUACACCUAUCACUUCAAAAAUACCAUUUUAGCUGCAUGUUACAGAAACAAACGAACUAGAAGCGACUAAGAUUCGAUAUCUAAGUAUGUGCAGGCAUAAAAUAAACAGGAGUGCAUCUGCUUCAGAGGUGAAAAAUUGGUAUCAUCAAUUGCAUCUCAAGUAGAGGCUUUUUUAGAUUUUUUCUUAGCUGUUCUGGCUAUAGCAUCACAAAUCUCUUUUUUCCUUUUGUUGUUACUGUUGAUGUUAUUGCUGUUUGUAUGGUUUUGGUUGUUGCCACCACCUGUGCUUGCCGAGCUCUUGGCAUGAACUUCAAGGGCAUCUUUAACAAAAAACUUCAACCGCCAUAAUGUAGAUUCACUCUACAUGAUACAACCAUAAACUCGAUUAAUCAUUGUCAUAGACAAAUAUAAGGCACACGAGGAGUGAAGGAAGGUACCUGUGCAUCGAUAUCAAGAUCCACCUCCUCAGCAGUAGCCUGGAAACUUGGGUUAUUUUCAGCUACAAUCUCCAACGCUUUGCUGAUAUCUUCUGGAGACAAUUUGGUGAGGGCUGCUCCAAGCUUCCUCUUUUCUUCAGUUGAUAUUUUUCUGAACCACACAAUGAUAGUAUCAGUAUACUCCAUCUAUGGGGUGCAAGUCAUCUUCUAAUGUCACAAAGCACAUCAAUCCCAUAAAUUGCCAAUCCUCAACCACAAAAUAGUAAGGAUAUUUAGAGGAGGUGGAGAAGAAUCCUACGGAAAUUUGGUUACUCAUAUUUCUUUGUGGCCUUUGAUUUCAAAGACUAUUUGUAACUAUUCUAUAGGCACUAUUUCAUAUAGUUGGAGUCCUAUUAGAUACCCUAGAUUAUAGGGCAGGUGUAUAAGGGUAAUUAGAUUUGUUGGUAGUUAGAUGGUUAUAAAUAGGAAGUUGGGGAGGGAAGAAGGGCAUGAAGAUUUUGGUGAAGAUAAUAGGCUGCAACAUUCCUUGAAAGAAAGGAAGGGCAGAGGGUUAGGGUUCCUUUUAAGUGUUGUUGAAUUUACUUUUACUUGUUUGUUCUUUUAUAUUGUAAUUUCUGUUUGAGAUAUCAAUAAAAUUGAAACACUCUAUCAGUGUUCUAACAAGUCCCUUCUUGUGGAGGUAGCAACCUCUAUUGUGAUUUCUUUUUUACUAUGCCCGGGUAUUUUUUCAUUGUUUGCUCAAUGAAAGUUGUGGUUUUUAUAUAUAAAAAGGGAGAAAAUGGAAUUACAUAUGAUUGGUAAAAGUUUUUUAUUUGGGGCACACAACACAUGCCACUCAAAUGCCAAAUUCUGAAUAUGCUAUAGGCGAAUGUGAUGCAUUUAUAUUGAUGCAUGGUACCUGAAUGCAAGUUCAAAAGCUGAAAUUUGGAACGAGAAAAGUGAGAACAAACCUGCAGUUCUGCACAACCAGUUCUCGAAGCUCUUCUAGUUGCAUAUCUACCUCGUAAAUCUGAAAACAGUUCAUAUCCCACGUUUAAACAGUCAAUUGUGUUUCCCAUUUAAGGUAAUAGAAAGAACAAGAGGAUGCAGGUCAUCUCUAAACAAACUCUCUCUAAGUAGCUAGAUCCAUGGAAUAAGAUGGACACCCGACCUCAUUACUUAUAUCCCUAGCCAUUUUUGCUUGAGCAGCCUCCUGAGCAAGCUGCAUGUCCAACAGAGCUUCUGCUUCCUCGUCCUCUCGUCUCUUUUCCUGGAAGGUGAGGUCUUUAGAACUUCAAGUAUAUUUUUUAACAUAUCCUUUGAACAAAUGAAACCAUGUUGGCACCAUGAAUUGAUUAAGGAACAUUGAUCCAUUUAAGAACCAUUCUCAAAACUAACUUACCUCUUCAGUGACUUUAGGUAGAAGUUGAAGCCAUUUUUCUUCAAACUUUGCGAGCAAAGUCUUGGCCAUCACGUGAACAUCACUUCUCUCAUCAUUAUAUUUCAUUGCAUUCUUGAAGACUAAUCUCACGUCAGAACAUAUUUCUCUCACAUUCUUAUAUCCAGUACCAUCCUUAGCCUCCAUUUGAUUUUUUAUUGUACUGAAGUCCAUAGGCUUGUCAAUAACCUAAUAAAUACAGUACAGUACAUAUGUUAGCUGAAGGAUUACAGAACCAGAGUACAUACCAAAGAUGCUAAAAUAUGCACAUGCCCAUCACACCUAAUUGCAGAAGAAGCUACAUUUGUAAAUACACUCAUAUCAUUUAAACAUUUUUGAGGUAAAUGUAUGCAUAUUGAAUGUUCAUCUUAGACAGAAUAGAAAACACAACCUAUAAGACAUGCAUGAAAUUAGUGCAGUCUAGACAAACCACAGGAAAAAUACACACAAAAAAGGUGAUGCAAGCAUGAAAGAUGAGCCUCUUCUAGGCUUUUAGGACAAACAAGAGACGCAACAUCAUGCCUAAACAUUAUAAACACAGCCAACCUCCUCUAACCAAAUUCUCUCGAAAUCUUCAUUUGAAGAAAUAUAUAUAGCACUGCUUAAACUCAGUGGGUAGUCCAGCCUAACUUGGAAAAAAGACUUAUGAUAGUGAUGUGAAAUCCAUGCAUUAUUUUUUUAUAUCCGUGAGUAUUCGGGCCAACUUAUGUGCACCUCAACUAAUCUCACGAAACAACCGCCAGACCGUACAACAUUUGGAUGUCAAGGGAACUCGUAGGAAAUUAAUUCCUAAGUAGGUGGCCACUAAUGAUUGAACCCAUGACCUCUUAGUUAGAUAUUGAGACUGUCUCCCUUUUUACCACUAGGGCAACCUAUAAUGGUUGAAAUCCAUACAUCUUAUUAGAUAGGGAUAUAGACCUCACCUCAUAAUAAUCAUGUAAUCCAAGACCUUCCACAUCCACUGGCUGCAUAAAAGGCCAGGCCCACUUAUGCUGUGAUAUCUGAAAGUCAAUGCAGAAAUAUAAAAACCAUGUCCAACUAUAGCUCUUGUUCCAAAUAAUUAUCGACAGAAAUUGAAAUAAAUGUAAGAACACAAACAAUUAUCGACAGAAAUUGAAAUAAAUGGCAGUGAGUCUGUAACCUGACGCAAUAUUGUCCCAAACUGCCGCAUGAGUUCUUGCAUUCUCUUUGUAGCUGCAGCUUCUCUGCGAGCUGCUUCUUGCUGCUGCUUUUUAAUACUUGGAACAUGUCUUUCCUUAUCUUUAUCCUUUACAAUAGAGCUGCCUUUAUUACCAUUUGGUUGCUUCUUUUUCAGCGUCAAAUAGAAUUGUUCUAUCUCAUUCACAUUUUGCUCAAGCUGCAAGCAUAGAAGAAAGCUCAAGAUUUGAAACUAACAAUUUGACGAGCAAAAGGAUAGCUAAUUUGGAAGGAUACAUCUGAACAAAAAAACUUAUGAUCCAGCUGAACUACUAUCAAAUUUUACAUAACAUUGCUAUCCUAAAAUUUGAAACUGGUCUCUCGAGUCAUUUCAUUGUCCAAAUUUUGAUCAAGAUGUGAGUCUGUGAGGUGAUGAAUUAAAUGAUGGUAUCUGUCAUUGUGGGAUAAAUACACACAUGAUGAAUAGGAGUCUUUCCUCCACUUAAUUAUAUUCCUCUCGUUUCACUUGUCAUGUUUGUGAAUUAAGUAGCCUGUCAUACCAUCUCCUUUCAUAUAUUUAUAUAAGCUAAUCUCAAUGUGAAAAAAAUGAAAAAAAAAAAAAUGCAAGGACGUACCAAAAAAUAAGCUAGGGAGCACCCUAUAAAAAGGGAUCCAGUCAAGAAAACUAAGAUGUGGUGAAUGACUACAAAGGAGAUUCGUCACCAACACCCAAAGAGAACUUUUGUUAUAUAUAAGAAGAUUUUCAUGAUAAAAUGAAAUAAAGGGAUAAACCCAAACACCAGAAGGUGAUUACAGAAAAUAAUGCCAAUUAAAGACUAAAUAGGAGAGACCACAGAGAGAUAUUAAAUCUCACAAGGAACCAAACAUUAGAAGACUCCCUCUUAAUCCCCCUAAAAGUUCUAUCCCCGAAUACCCCACAUCACAGCAUACAUCCCAACUUGGUUGUCAUACCAUCUGAUCUUAAAUUGUGACUUCUUUUUUUUAACGAGAAACAAAUUUGAUAAGGAAGGAAAUGACUUUCAAAUAGUAACUAAAUGUUUUCAUCUCAAUCAUUAUAAAUAAAUAAAAAAACUUGAGAGACUAUUUCAACCCAUAUUCAAAACUUCAAGGAUUAAAAAGCUUCGUACACUAAGGACUACCAAAAUUAUUUUUCCCAUACCUCAUCUAUUUUAUGUAGAUAAGGGAUAUCAAACAGCCACACCCUUCACCCAGCCAGAAAAUACUAGAUCUGCCGGACAGCUGUAUGCCCCAACCCAACUAUCAAAUGUGCAAUAAACCGAGCAAAAAAAAAAAAAAUACAUGUUCAGAACAAUGAGGUUACAAUAUAUCAGUGCUUUACCCUGUCAACCUUCAGGAAAAUCUCAUCGACUUGAUGCCUAAAGCCAUCCACUUCUGUAUGAACAGUAUCCCCCACAACAAAGUUUCUGCCAUCUGCUACAUCCAUGGGAUCAAUCUAAUUCUGUACAACAACAUUUGGUGAAUACAAAGAACGCUACCUUGGGAAUUGCCAAAAAAAAAAAAAGAUAGAUAAUGCUCUUUAAGGUGUAAAAUGCCUUGAAAAUAAUAGUUUCCUUAAGACUUAAACCUAAAAAUUAAAAUAAAAUGAGGCAAACCUUUUCUGUGAAUUUUUUUAAAAGUAAAUAUGAAAAUAUAUGAUAUUAUGAGUAAUAAGAUCAACAAAUUAGGACUUUUACCAUGGAAAUAAAAAACAGCAAUAUAGUUUCACAAGGAGCCCUCACCGCACAAAGAACCCUAGAAUAGACAAUAGAUGGAUAAUACAACCGAAUAAGAAGCAUCAUAAACUAUAGAUGCAAAAAAAAAGGUAGGAAACAAUUGAUUUAUGAAACAAAAUGAUGCACCUGGCUACAAAUAUAAGAACAAACUGAAUUUUCCAGUUAUCCUUCUGUAGCAAUAAACUUACUCCAACAAACAACAAUGCAAAGAACCCCCAAAUUAAAUGGUAUAACUACAAAUAUUGACCUAAUUGAACCCAAAGAAAAUUUUACAAACUAAUCCAAAAAACAAAAUCUUCUCUACCACUAACUCAUUCCUGAAAACAUUUCCAUGACCUUUUAGCCAUGUGUAUUGACAUUAUUAACCUUCUCUAUUCAAAUCCUCAACCGUUCGAUUUUCUCUCUCCUCAACCAACAUCUUCAAUGCUAAUCACCAAUAUUCCACCAAAACAUUUAUACUCAACAACAUUUUGUCAUUAGCAUUGAAUGAUCUUGGAUUAUAUCACCGAUGGGACAAAAAAGUCGCUCUAAAACAUUGAAUUUCCUUCCCAUUCUCAUUCCCUGCUCUUCACAUUCUUCUACAAUCAUUCUCCAUCAAAGUUUCAGGUGAAAAUCCUUCUUGUCCUUCGUAUUUGCUCCAAUCGGUCUUCAGAACCAAGUAACUGGACUAUAAGUACUCGUGUGUGAAUUUUAUCUUAUUUUUUAAUAUUACUCAUCGUCUAACAAAAUCGUCAUGACCGUUGAGAUUUUACACACGAUCAUGGUACAUUUUAAUGUAAGAAUUAUAACUAAUUGUUGAUUAUCAAUUAGUUAGUAGUUAGUUUAAUCAUCUGACUAAAUUCUUGAUUUCCAACCAACCUCUAGUUAGUUGUUAGUUUUAUUUUCUGUUAAAAGUUUGUUAUAACCGUCCAACUUUAUCCUUUUUUUUUUUAAAUGGAGACAAGCCUCUUUAUUAAUAAUAAUAAAUGAGACUAAUGCUCAAAGUACAAGAGUAAUAUACUAAGAGCAAAAUAAGAAAAAGACAAAGUCUUUCAAACAAACUAAACAAAGAUGAACCCAUACAAAGUAUAUGGGAAACGACCAAUAAACGAUCACAAAGUUGAAACAACGAAAGAACCAAAGCAACAAAGAGUUGAAACACCAGUAAAGAUCUUAAUACAAAGAAAAUAUAAACACUUUGAUGAAAAGCGCCCACUUCAAACUGAAAUUUUGAAUACCACAUGCUUCGAUUUGAAAGGUGAAGUAGUAAAAUCAAGUUUUUCUUCGCAAGAGGGCAAGGAAACCUACAAAUAAGUAUACGGGAUCAAAAUGUCUCUUCAACCAUAGAAGCCAUGCAGCCCCUGUUAGGUUGUUGCGCUUAUAUGAGAUUAAUGCUCCUUUGUUUAUUUCCAUAUUCUAUUUACAUUGUGCCGUUCUUGAUCUUUUAUCCCGCUUUACAAGGCUUUCUAGCAUUUUAUUUCGGUAGUAUAUUGCUAUCAUGCUUCUGCACAAUUGCCAAGGAACUGAAUGAAGAUCUGAACCAAUCAUCAUGACCCAAGAUUUGUGUGCUUCUUCCGCUCGAUGGUCCAUGUCUAAAGCCCAUAUUAACUGCCCAUAGACAUUCAUUGUGGCUCCCUGGCCCUUGCUUAGCAUCUAUUUGAUUACCUGUACAAUUCUAUGCCACUGUUGUUCCUUCUCAAGGGCAGCCAAUACAUGCUUAAGGGAUGCUAUUGGAAAGACUUGCUCCCAUGCAACUCAGGCAUCAAGAGCACCAUAAACAGCCUCCUUACCUAUCUCUCAGAUGAAGCAGCUCUAAAUCCGUGAUUGAGCUGCUGUCCCACAUAGACAAAAUCCCCCUGAAGAACCCACAGAUUCCACAAAAUCCCAACCAACAUCUUUGGAGCUCCAUAGAGAUUUUAUAAAAGCAAAAUUGAUAGCUUCCAUUUUUUACUCUUGAGUCAAAAUUAUGUUCGGAUUACAGUUUUUUUAACUUUUUGAGAGCCGCUCUCUUGGAGACAUCUUUUAGACCCCUUGUAUUCCAUAAGAUAAUCUUCAUAGGGCUGAGUGAGAGCAAAUAGUGGGCUGACCCCUUAGACCAGAACUAUACCACAGUGGGUUUAGGGUUUAGGGUUAUUAACUAAAGAUAACAAAUCUUUACGUAAUUCUAAAGAGCUUUAGAAGGGGAAUGGCAGAUUCCUCAAAUAAUGUAGUAAGAUCAGUCCCAUCUAUUUCUGAGGUGACAUUUUGAUCAGAAACUCUUAGAAAACCCACUGAUUCUUCACUACUUACAUUAAAAGGAGAGUCUAUGGUCACAGCACGAGUCUUCUCUGGUGAGUUUAAAAAAUAUAAAAUAUGGCAGGGGGAUCCUUGCAUUAAAGAUACAUUAGUGUUGGGGUUGGGGAGUUUGAAGUAAAGAAAAGAAAUGGGAGGAAAACCUGCUGAAGCUGACCUUAUGAGACCAUCAGAAGACUGUAUUUUGGUGCUGCACACCUCCAGAAGAUCAGGAUUUUCUUCUGAUAUUGAAGGCCCUGUACGGGUGAUCUGUGGAGGAGCUGAAGCUGAAGCUUUGAGUGAACAGAAUCCAUUCAGUUCUGAUUGUAGCAAGGUUGUCCAGAUAUUAUUAAAAGAAUUUUGCUUUCUGAUGUAGUGUUUAACUAUUUUCGGAACUUUAGAAGAUUUACCACCUAUGAAGAGGGAUUUGCUGUGGCAGUGGGCAGCUCAGGAGUUGGCUGCAGAGUUGGAUUGGCCAAGAGCUUAAUUAAAGAGGAUGGAGGCUCAUUAUUACCCGUGAACGUAAUUAGGGGGCACAAUGUUACUCUCACCUGGUGGGUCAUUAGCAGCUGUAAAAAGAGGGUUUAAUUUAAUUUCAGUGGGCCCUAUAACUUUUUGGAGACAGCUGUGCUGCAAGGGAUUGGUGAUUGGCAAAAACUGUUCAGAUGCCCGCUCGUUUGAGAAAACAGCCAGCUGUGCACCGAUUUCUGUCUUUUUCUCCAGCAAUGGCACCGGUAAGCUGGCCAGAAAGGGCUUCAAAAGACUGAACGGAUUCCUAGCCCUGGGAAGAACAAACACUGACUUUGGUACAUUGAUGACUGGAGGGAAGGAGGAAAUGUCAAGACCUUCAUGAUUCAAAACUUCCCUAAUACGCAACCCCGGUCGAUUGAGUUACUAAAAUUCCUUGCAAACUGGGGGCUAUGCUUGUAUUAGGUGGAUUUAAAAAACUCAAAAUCACCAUAGUGCAGAAAGAUGCUACCCCUCUUAUGAUCAGAGAUUUCAAUUGUUGAAGGAACAAAGCUACAAAUGUUCUUUUUGACCAAGAUCCGGGCUUCACUACAAUUUGUAAGAUUUAAGGUUUUUGUGGCUAUCAAUUAGUCUUCCAAAGUGGUCUCCUAUAGCUUCAAAGGUGCUUCAUUUCCAGAAAUCUAAAGGAAGAUUCUUUAUUUUAGUCCAGCCCCCAAAACAUUGAAUCACGAGGGGCCUACUACGUCCAGCUUUAUCCUUUGUAUAAAUAGGUCAUUUGACUUCUCUUUCAAAUCAAUAAAAAGAUAAAGAAAUUUUAGUAUUCUUGAGUUUUGUUUACACCAAUUGGUAUGAGAGCGAAGAUCCAUUACGCAUUCUUUCUUGGAUCACUUUUUUUUCAUGGAUGCAGAAACCUCCUCUUUAACAAAGCUAUGGAAACCAGACUGACUAAUGUAGAGAAAUCUGUAGGUGAAAUUCAAGGCGAGUUAGAUGAAAUCUGUUCUAUGCCGUGGGAAAUUUUACAGAACUUAAAUAUCAAUUCUGAAACCAACAGAGAGCAUGCUGAAUUAGCUCCAAACAAAAAAAUUCAGAUCCAAGAACGACAAGAUUUGGGCGACGACAGAGCUGUCAACUUUAAUUCUUCACUAAAUGAAGCCAAGAACCUUGCAAGAAACCCAGCCAAACAAAAGAUUGUCAAAUAUCCUUAUAAAAAAUUAAAGAUGAAAACAGUCCAAUGAAACUGCAGGACACGAUUACACUUUUGAAUUAAAGAUGAAAACAUGCCAAGGUUUUGUAGUUGGCAAAGAAAAGGUUCACAUACUAAUCCUCCAAUUCGCAAACGACACCCUUCUGUUUUGUAAGUAUGAUGAAAGCAUGCUAAUGAAACUGCAGGACACGAUUACACUCUUUGAAUGGUGCUCCAAGCAGAGACACAGAAGGUUAAUUGGGAGAAAUCAGCCUUAUAUGGAGUUAAUGUGGAAGAGGAUGAGCUGAAAAAUAUGCCUGGGAAAAUGGGAUGUUCUGCAAAAAUGAUGCCCUUCUUAUACUUAGGGCUUCCAUUGGGAGGGUAUUCAAGACAGUGUACUUUUUGGCAGCCCAUGAUUGAGAAAAUGCAGAGAAAAAUACACAGAUGGAGAAGAUUCAACUUGUCACAAGAAGGUAGAGCUACUUUAUGUCAAUCCGUAUUUGCUAAUCUUCCUACAUAUUACAUGUCUCUGUUUGCAAUUCCGAUUAAUAUAGCAUCUUCUUUGGAGAGAUUAAUGAGGAAUUUUUUCUGGGAGCAGCACACAAGAAGUAAAAUUAACCAUUUGGUUAAAUGGGCCAAAGUUAUCCGAAACCAUUUGGUUAAAUGGGCCGCCCCAACUUGUGGAGGUUUGGGCUUGGGAGCAUUGCAAAAUAAGAACAUGGCUCUACUUCCAAGCGGGGCUGGAGGUUUAUGAAUGAAGACGACUCUCUAUGGAGACAAGUCAUCCAAAGCAUCUAUGGAAAAGAACCCUUCAACUGGCACACGGUGGGAAAUUCUAGCCACAGUCUAAAAGGCCCAUGGAUUAGUAUCUCACAGGUAUGAAGGAAGGUGGAGCCUUUAGCUUCUUCUAAACUUGGAGAUGGUUCAAGGACUGCCUUUUGAACAGAUGAUAGGAUUGCCUUCCUCUCUGCACUCAAUACCCCCUGCCUCUUCAGAAUUACACUUCUACCAAAACGCUCCAUAGCAGUGCACUGGGAUUAUUCAACUUCUUCUUGGUCCAUAGUCUUUAGAAGGCUUCUUAAAGACAUUGAAAUUUUGGAAUUACAAAACUUGAUGACUCAACUAGCUUCAAAAAAGGUCUCAAACAAUCCCAACAGAAGGAUUUGGUCUUUGGAAGAGCAUAGGAAGUUUACAGUCAAGUCUCUUACAAGACACCUACUGGCUUUUUCCCCAUUGGCCAAGGAUCUUCAUAAAGCUUUGUGUAAACCCAAAUGUCCACCAAAGAGAGUAAGUAUUCUCGUUUGGAUUAUGAUUUUUGGCCUCUUGAAUUGCGCUUCAGUCAUGCAACUAAAGACACCAAACAGCUGCCUAUCACCUUCCAUGUGUCCACUGUGCAAGCAAGAAGGUGAAGAUUUACAGCACCUAUUCUUCAAAUGCUCUCUCUCCAAACUGUUAGUGGAAGCUUUUUUUAUUUUCGAUGUGGUUUGUGUCUUUGGAAUUCUUUUAACCAAAAUGUUCAGCAAGUGGGUCCGAUAUUUAAGAAGAAACUGAGGCUGAUUUGGGCUAAUUUUUCAAAAGCUAUGUUUUCUGAAAUUUGGUUUGAAAGGAACCAAAGAACCUUCCAUGACAAUAAAACUUCUUGGUUGGAUCACUUUAAGACAGCAAGUAGGAACGCAGUAACUUGGUGUACCCUCCAUAAAGAAUUCGAAGCUUUCUCCAUUUAAGCUAUCAAUCACAACUGGCAGUCCUUCAUUUAUUCAGUUCUUUAACAGUCAGUCCUUCAUGAAGACCCACUGUUUUGACCUUCUAUAUGGUUGCUGUCCUUUUGAUGUAUUUGUUAUGUUUGUUAUGUUUUUAUUUCCAUUCCAUUUUGGAUCUGCAGCUCAUCAUGGUUUGUACUCCUGAAUACUUUAUUUUGUAUUUUUUGACCCUAUGUGUACUGGAUAUAACAAGGACGCUAAGGGAGUGUCCGGGUGCGCCUACUAAUCCCAUAGUCUCUUAAUGUUUUCUACUCUUUGUAUAAACCUUUUGUACUUUGAGCUAUUAUUAUAAAUAAAGAGGCUGGUUUCCUUUAAAGAAAAAAUAAAUAAAUAAGAAACUGUCAUCUAUAUCCUUAUAAAGUUUCUAUAAAAAUUUGGACAAAGUCUCCUCUGAAAAACGAACUAGUCACACCUAGAAAAUAAGAGAAAAAAAUUGAAAACGUAAGUUAAAACUCAAUGAGUGGCAAGUUUUUAAAAGUAAAACUUAUAAAACAUACUUCUAAUAAGAAACAUUUAGGCAUACUUUUGAUAACAAAACCAUAACUCAGAUUCCAAGAUCGUUAUUUAUAAAAUCGUUACAAAUUUAUUAAAAACAUGUCAACUUAUCCAUGUCCAAUUCAACACAAAAGGUUAAAGUAAAUACCAACAAUGAAGCAUAAGGCCAUACCCAGCUCACACAUAUUUACCAUUAACCCUCUACAAUCCCAAUCUACGACACUAGAACACACUGAAUAAACGGCUGGAGAAUAGCUCACGCAUGAUUCAAAGGACAUGCGGCUAAACUGAGUUCACGCAUAUUCACAAUCAAACAUGUACAUAUCUCGGUGUACCAUGGAAAAAUGUAUCCAAGAAUAGCUCAACAUGUUCCAUAUCCACAAGGAAACAUACGGCCAAACUGAGCUCACGCACAUUUAGUAACUGCAAUAAUGACGAUCUAAUCUCAAUAUCCACAUCCUCGGUAACUAUGCUCCUAUGUGCACAUAGAGAUAUCCUCCAAGGGUUUUUCUAGGCUCGAAGCCAAUACUACAGCCUACAUCCAUUUCCUCACCUAGGUUUAGGUUCCUAGAUCUCUGGGUUACAACUUCCCUCAACCCCAGAAUCCCUUGGAAACCGUAGGGGGUGCUAUGGACACACAUUCAUGUAGCCUAUGGGUAAAAUCACCUCAGUACACUGAUUCUGUGGUUUGAAAACCAACCUUCACAUUCCACCAUAAACCAUCAUCUAUAAAUACAUCUCAUACCCAACAUUUCAUGCAGUCCAAAGCUAAAACAAAUUUUCUAAAUAAGAGAGACAGAAGCAUUCGCAUCGAUAAAUCCAAACUAAGCAUAUUUUAACACAAAUUUCCGAAAGAACUCAAAAUACUAGAGAAGUUGUAGCUAUUUAUCACAAUUUCUAAUAUUUCAUAAAAUCCACUAUAAAAUCACAUUUGCAUAUAACUCAUGUAAAUUGUAAUUAAAUCAUAUCCUAUUCAAAAACACAUAUUACAAAUUCGCAUUAUAGAGAACUCAUGAUAAAUCAUAAACUUUAGUUAAGGUCAUUAUUGAUAAUACAGUUAUAUCAAAACAAGCUAUGCCGAACACUUAUUCACAAACCAAAUUCAACUAUAUGUCUAAAAUAAAUUUUCAUAUAAAAUAUUUGAAAAUAACCACUUACGGUCAAUAGCUUGAUCCUCUAAGAUUAGAAGCUCUCCCUGGCUUGACUUAAAGCGACGUGAAAACCGCAAUGACUUCUUAACAAUACCUCUCAGUCCUGAAAAGAUCCAACCAAUAUCAAAACCAACCUUGUUGGAAAUCUAUUCAAUUUAAUCCAAAACAGUAUGGGCAUCAAUAAACUCAUGCCUAAACCAAAUGGGUGCUUCAAGAACUUAAAGAAAACGCACUAUAGUACCCAAAAUCUUACCUAAGGCUUGUUUAAAUAGCCUUAGCUUCGAUGGACAGCACUCAGCGGUUUUCUAAAUUCACAUCCUAACAUCCAAAAAUCAUGGGUACCUCAAAAUUACCACCAAACCUUAAUGGAUAUUCAAGACCAACUCCAAAAAGUUUAGAUUCUUACCCAUUUGAUGCCAAAAACGCCUAGUAUUCACUUCUCGCCAGCUGGACUGCAGUUAACUCCUUCCAAAAGCUCGAUUAUAAUACUUAAACCUGAUGUGCAUUAAUAAAUUUAAGUCAAAAUUUAAUGGGUGUUCCAAAUCUUUACAAGAAACUCAACUAAAACAAUGAAAUUUUACCCCAAAACUCAAGAAUCAAACUUUCAGCGACAACGCAACGAUAAGCAACAGAGAUUCGAUGCUCACCAGAACACCGGAGGCUCAAUCAACGCAUAGAAAGGAUGGACAACUAGCUCGACAGAGGACUCGUGGGUCCGAGUGGCAAGAUCUGGCACUACGACUUUGGAUUAAAUAGCAGCGCGAAACGAACCUCGGGGGUAGCGUGACUGUGGGCCAAGUGGCAGCGUGCACGACAAACAAAAUCCAACGGCCAGGAGUUGGUGGACGAUUUCCAAUCGGCAGACAGUGGCUAAUCGGAGACGACGAGAGGAAGGGAGGGCCGUGGGCUUUCACGAAGAGGAAGAAAAAUCCAGCUUCUUCUUUAUUAUAAUUUCAUUUUAUAAAAAUAUAAAAUAAAAAGAUAAGAAAUGACCAAAAUGCCUCUCACUUUUAUUUUUAUAUUUCCUUAAUGCCCUUAGUGGUGUACUUCGAAUCUACCCUUUUGAGAAAAAUACAACUACUCUUUCUAAUAAUUGCUUCUUAUAAAUAAUAUCAUCUCCUCCAAACAGAAGAGAAACAUUCAUCAACCAAAACCCUUCUAGUGGUUUGCACCAUUUGGUAUCAUAGCACCCAAGGAUUUCUAGGACCAAUGGCCCUUCCUCAACCAAUCAAUUAGGUGGACGACGUCGAAACGAUCAAGAGCAAGAGGCAAAAUCAACUUCCAUCCUCUCUCCCAACGACUUCUUCAAGACACGCUUAGUUGAGAGAAUUAAGAAAAUUCUUAGAGAACGUUUGGUGAAGGAAAAAGUUAUGAUAUAAUCUUAUGAUUAUAAUAAAACUAAUUUUAUGAUAAGAUGUGUUUGGAAACGGUUUGUUAUUGAUAGUGUUAUGAUAGUAUGUGUUUGGGAAAUGAUUAUGAUAAGUAGUAUUAUGAUAAUAUUUGUCAUAAACUUGGCCAUUAUUCCUCGGAAUGCAUAAAUAGAGUUGAAUAAAAUGCAAAUUAUGCUGAGAAAGACGAAGAAAGUGGUAAUUCAUCAUUGCUUCUAGCAUGUAAAGGUGUGGAAACAUGUGAAAACAAUGCAUGGUAUCUCGAUAGAGGUGCAAGCAAUCAUAUGUAUGGAAGUAAAUCAAUGUUCGUGGAGCUUGAUGAAUCUGUUGGUGGCGAUAUUGUAUUUGGUGAUGCCACAAAAAUUCCAGUUAGAGGAAAAGGUAAAAUGUUGAUCAAUUUGAAGAAUGGAAAGCAUGAGUUUAUCUCUAAUGUUUAUUAUGUGCUUGAUAUGAAGAACAACAUUUUGAGUUUGAGACAACUCUUAGAGAAAGGCUAUAAUAUUUUGAUGAAGGAUUAUAGUCUUUUGAUAAGAGAUAAUCAUGACGAUAUGAUUGCUAAAGUGCAAAAGACAAAAAAUAGAAUGUUUUUAUUGAACAUUCAAACUGAUGUAUCGAAAUAUUUAAAGUCAUGUUUGAAAGAUCCAAACUGGAUUUGGCGCUUGAGAUUUUGGCAUUUAAAUUUUGAUGGCUUGAGACUAUUAGCCAGGAAGGACAAACAUCCAAACCAAUUUGGUGAAGGUUGUCUUUAUGGCAAGCAAUCAAGGAAGAGUUUUCCACAACAAUCAUCCAAGUGUGAGUAGAAUACACAUAAAAAAUUAGAAUCUUCCAAUAAAGUUUGUUUUUCCUCUUAAAUAUUCUAUUUGGUAAUUAUCUAUUUGGGGUGUUCAUCGUACGCUUCCAACAGUAUAAACGUCAUGAAAAGCAAAAAAAAAUCUUAUAUUAUAAGAUUAUGCGGUUGUAAUGUGAGUUGACAAAAUGGAAUAGGGAAGCAAAUGAAAUGAAAUGCUACACACACUCACCGAUUGUCUUGCUCCUCCAAUCCCUGACAUCAGUGAGAGUUUAUGUAUAGCAUGAAAACCGUCUAUCAACCAUAUAGACUCCUUGGGUUCUCAUAAUAACAUUUGCACUUUUAAAUCUUUUCGAUACAAAUUUUGAUGUUGUGUUGGGAAACAAGACUUUGAUGUGGUGUCGAUCAUUGGCGUGCAAGUAUCUUAAUUUUGUUGGAGAAGUUCUUAGUAACAACAUAUGUUCUGAUUUUGAGGACCAACAACAUCCCACAGUAGAAGCCAUUAUUAUUUCACCGUCGAUUGACACUUCAAAAUGAAUAAAACCCUCCGCUUCGUCACAUGAAUCUCCAUCUGCUUUGAAAAUUACACACAGAACCAAAGCUGGUAUGUUCUUAUCUAAAUUGUGACGAAACCUAACACUCAUUGAACUUCUCGUAGUUUGUUUGUUGCAGUAUUUUGGAAUCUCAUUGUUUGUUAUGAAGAGCACUUUUGUUGAGUCACUAAAUUCAGCGUCCUAAGGGAUUAAGAGUUAAUUGGCAUUAAAUAAGAGAACAUAUAUAACAUUAGAUAUUAUGAUAUGAACAAAUAGAAAUUAGAUGAAAGGAGAGGAACCUGUUUUCCGAACAUCAUAUCAGCAAUGCAAUCAGGACGUAUAGCCAACAAUUCGCUACCACUGGCAUUCACCCGAGCUAAAUGAUGGGGAAGCUUUAUUAUAUUUUGAAGAAACUUGCAAUUCCUUAAUUCAAGAAACCUUAAUGACUUAAAAUUUUGGAGAGAGGGUAGACAAGAGAAUGUGUUUCCUGACAAAUUUAGCUUCUCCAAGGAAGUGCAGACAUUAGAUAAUGUUUCGAGGAAAUCAGAAUUUGAUAUAUUACAAUUUUUGAGAUCCAAUACCGUCAGCUUGAAAUAUGAGCUUUCUUGGGAAAAAUUUAAGCUUGAUCUCGGGGGAAACAUGUCGAGUUUAGAACACCCGCGAAGAUGAAGUUCCUCGAGACUUUUUAGCCAAUGAAUUUCAUUUGGAAGGGCAGUCAGGUUUGCACAAUCAUUAAGGUUUAAAUUCUCGAGCCCAAUAAGAUAUCCAAUUGAUGAAGGUAACACCCUUAUGGCUGUACCGUUCAAAUUCAUCACCCUUAAAGAUUUCAUGUUUUCAUCAAAUUCUGGAAGUUGUUCAAGCUUGUAACAAUUAGUGAAACUCAAAGAAUCAAGAGACUUCAACUUCAGGCUGCUAGGAAGCUUUUCUAGGUUAUGGCAUAAAUCGAGUUGUAAGGUGAUAAGUUUAUCAAGAGACCCAAUAGACUCGUGAAUUAUUCUUAAAGAGAAGCAAGUAUUGAGAUCUAAUAUCUCAAGGUUUGAUGCCAUUGAAAAGUCAGUAAUUUCUUCAAGAUUUAGACAAUCCCGUAGAUUCAGAACUUUAAGAGAUUUGAACUUCAGGUGGCUUGGAAACUUUCUAAAAGAGCUGUCAAAAAAAGUUUCAAGCUUUAGACAUGAAGCGAGAUUCAAAAGUUCAAGAGACUCUAACUUGUUGGUGUAAAUUGGUAGCCUUUCAAGGUUUUUACAGCCUUCCAGAUCCAAGAUAAUAAGCUUAUCAAGAGAACGACCAAUAGAGUCGUGAAUUAUUCUCAAACGGUCGCAUUCCCUGAGAUAUAGUUCCUUAAGGUUUGAAGAUGCAGACAAGUCAGGAAUUUCUUCAAUUUUUCUGCACCUACUAAGAUUCAAAACUUCAAGAGAUUUUAACAUGAGAUAGCUGCUUGGAAACUUUUCUAGGUUGUCACAACCUUCAAGGUCCAAUGUAACAAGCUUACUAAGAGAAGCCACAGACUCGUGAAUCACUUUCAAACUCGUGCAUCCCCUAAGAUAUAAUUUCUCAAGGUUUAAUGUGGCAGAGAAGUUGGGAGUUUCCUUUAACGUGCCACAAUAACUCAGAUCAACAUGCUUCAUUGUUUUACAAUUCUAAAACAAAUGGGAAAAAAAAUCAUUAAAUAAACUUCCAAAAAAUCACACACAAGUAGAAGCAGUACUAAAAUUUACCUCAAAUGCAAUCCUUGGCUGUUUGUUGACUACACCUUUCAUAACUAGUCCGACAAGCCGACCUUUCACAGAAAAACUUAUGGACGAAGACUGGUUAACAUAAAAUGUAGACCACUCAAUCCACUUCAACGAAUUAGGUAAAUACUCAAAUAUAUUUUUAGGGAAGUAUGCUACUCUUUGAAGGAUAAGCAAUCUAAGAUUUUUCAUGUUUCUAAAUGCUUCUGCUUCAACAAUUUUCAGCCAAGGUUUGUAGUGCAAGUCUAACUUUAUGGCUUUAACUGCUUUAGUUCCCUACAAGGUUAUAAAUCAAGUAAUUUUACAUUAUUAACAAAUAAUUACCGACCGAUUUGACUUGCAUUAUGUUUUAAUUUCAUCACAGUAUAUAUCUUUGGCAAUAAGUAAAUAAAAACAUUGUCUAAAGUCACUCACAGAUUUCUCUUUCAAUAUCUUGAUAGCUCCUUCUGCCUCCCACAACCUACUCCUUUUUGCAGGCUCAAAAGAUUCAUGGCGAACAAUUGUUUGACCCAUUUGUUGUAUUAAAUCAUGCAUUUGUAUCUUUCCAUCUUCAACAGUAACAAGGGAAAGAUCCAUAAGAAUUAUAAUUCCAUAGUCUGGAUUGAGAUCACAUGCCUUUAACACAUCCUUACUGUAGUUAAUAUCCUCUCCCACGAAAAAGCAAGAAAUAUCAAGAAAAAUCUCCUUCACUCUUUCGUGAAGCUCCUUAAAACCUAUUUGAAAAACAGCUUCAACACUUGGUUCGAGGGAAUUUUCAAGUUCAUGUAAUUUACUUUUCCAUAUUUUUCGCUCUCUCUUAUGGAGAAGAGAACCCAAAAUAACAAGAGCCAAUGGAAGACCUUUGCAAUAACUUACAGCAAAUUUUGAAAGGUCUACAUAAUUACUUGAGGGAUGAUUUUGCUUAAAAGCAUGCAGGCUAAAAAGCUCAAGGGAUUUCUUAGGAUCCAACAACUGAAUAGGAUAUACUAUAUCAAAUGAAUGGUUUUCUAGUAAAUGUCGAUCUCUUGUUGUUGCUAUGAUUUUACUUCCUCGACCGAACCAAUCACGUUCACCAACUAGUGCGUCUAAUUGUUCAUCCUUAUCCACAUCAUCAAGAAUGAUAAGAACUUUCUUUGAGCAUAACCGAUCCCUAAUGAUAUUCUUUCCUUUAUGAACGUUGCCCACCUUCCAAGCAUUAUCUUUUAAGAUCUCACUGAGUAGUUUUUCUUGUAGUUGAACCAGGUCUUUGAAUUGCUCUAAGGUUUCUCUAACAUUCGAAAGAAAGCAACAAGCUUCAAAUUGAUAAGCGAUUUUGUUGUAUAAAGCUUUGGCCAGAGUGGUCUUACCAAUGCCUCCCAUCCCAUGUAUCCCCACCAUGUUAACACCAUCGGGCACAUCAUGGGAGGCCAAUUCCUCAACAGCUCUAAGUUGAGAAUCAAUUCCAACUGGAUGCUUGGCUACAUGUAGUAGUUGUGUUUGAUUUAAUAUAGACAACACCUCCUUAACAAGGUCAUGAAUAAGAUCAGCCUCAUUCUUCCUGUAAUGAUUGAGCACAUCAUACACAAAUACAAGUAGACGAAGUUAAGAAACACAGUAGGGAACAAUAAUAAGAAUUAAGAAACAUAGUAGAUGAAGUUAAAUUCAUUAUAACAUUAAAUUUUUCAAUAACAAAAUUAGAUUGGUCAACAUGGCACUCACACAUUUCUCUUUCAAUAUCCAUUUUGUGUUUUUUGUUUGAGGUUUUCAUUGGGUGUUUUUUGUUUUAGGUUUUGAAAAUUAAGCCUAUCUUCUUCCAAUAUCUUAUUAUUAUUGCAUCUCUUAUCGCAAUGGUUGAAUAUUAUUAUCGAAGUUUUAAAAACAAAAAUAAGUUUUUAAAAUCUACUUUAUUUAGUUUUCAAAAUUUGGCUUGAUUUUUAAACGAUUGGAAAAAGUUGAUAACAAAGCAAGAAGUUUGGAGGUAAAAUUGUUAUACAGGCUUAUUUAUGAUAGAAAACUAACCACUUCUCUUUUUUUUUAACUGUUUGAGGAAUCAACUUGCAUAAAACGAAUUGUUUACCUUGAACAAGGUAAUUUUAAUUCAUCUCAUCGUUAACCUUGAAAACUGUUAAAACUAACUUAAAAACUAAAAAAAACUAAAAACAAUGAUACCAAUCAAUCUGUUUUCUUAAAAGUCGUUUUUUUUCUUAAUGUAUUUGAUAUUUUUUUGUAAUCUAAAGGGUAAAAUAUAAUUUCACUCCUAAAAUAAAUUCACUACCUUUUAGAAUAAUGCAUGUAAAAAAUACCUAGUUGCUAAAUCCCAACCAGACAAAGAAGCAGCAGUGGUCAAAGCUUCCUUCCAUGGUUGAACCUUGUUGGUCAUUAACUCAUUAGCUUCAUGUUUGGCCAAUGCUUCACCAAACCCACCAGUUUGUUUUCGAACCUCAGAUGGAUCCACCUUGUUAAGAAAUUAAUCAACAAAUUAAUAAAGAUAAACCCGUAAAGCAAUGGAGACUAUGAUACAGAUUUAUAUGAUUUAUUAUCAGUGGUGGCUAACUCCACAGGUAGAGGGAGGGAGCAAUUUUAUUAGAAAGAAAAUUCAUAUUACACAUCAAAUGUGCUUCUAUGGUUGGAGUGUUAGUGGGCUUCUCUAAAACGUUAGGGUCAAAAUCAUAGAUAACAUAACUAUAUAAAAAAUACGAAUUCAGAUAGUCCAACAAAUUAAACCUUGUAGAAGACAGGAAAAACUAUAUGUCCCAUGGAUUUCAUGCACUGAACUAUUUUCACCAGUUCAUCCAAACACCAGGUGGAAGAUGCAUAAUUUUUGGAGAAAAUAAUGAUGGAAAUUUUAGAACCAUCAAUAGAUUUGAGAAGGGAUUCAGAAAUUUGACCACCCCUCUCUAGCUUGUCAUCUAUGAAGAAAUUGACACCCUUUUCACGCAAGGCCCUGUCAAGAUGACUAGUGAAGUUGUUUCGAGUAUCCUCACCUCUGAAACUCAAAAACACAUCAUAACUCCAUUUCAAAUUUGAAGAACAAGACGAUGAUGAUUGUGCUAAACCAACCAAAGAAGAACCCAUCCGAAUUUUGAAAAUCCUGAAGUAAGAAUCCAGCCAAGGGAUGAGAAUGAAGAACAAAAUGGUUGUUUCUUUUCCCAGUGAACAAAUAAAUUACAAUAAUUUAUGCAAGUUAAAUUAUUAAAUUUUAAGCAAUUUGCAUCUAUUGCAGCACAAGGUUUAACCAACUAGUAUACAUAUAUGUUCAAGUCCACCUUUUCCAUGUUAAAAAAAAAAAAACGGUCAACUAUUUGUAUCUAUACUUUCUAUUUUUAACAUUUAAAAACUCAGAAGCAUCAACGUCAAGUUCGCUUAGAAGUUAGAACAUUUCCACUUUAUGUUCAAAUACUUCCUUCUUCUACAAGAUAUAUAUAUACAAAUAUAAUGAUAAUAAAAAGUUCUAUCUACAAAUAACAUAAAAUAAUAUUUUGUCUAACUAGACCACCAUAAAAUUAAUAAAUAAGAAGUGACAAAUUCAUUAGUUUUUCAACUAACAGAAAUAUCUAUGGAAAUUGUUUUGGGUCUUCAAGUUUAUCAUAACCUAAUUAUUUCUCUGACAUGUUCCCUUCAGGAUACAACAAGAAAAGUUGUGUAACUCAAACCAAUUUUCACUUAAAGAUCGUAUUUACCUUGGCCAAUUUGCUUUUAAAGAGAGAUAAUGAGAGAAAAAAAGAGGAAGAUGUAUUUAUAUAAUACUAAUCUUUGUUAGUGUAAAAUUGCGAGAAUAUGGUAUGUGAUGUAUUGAUAGUACUCAUCUUUGGAUAUUGAAUAUUUAAUUCAAAGCUAGGUAAUAAAUGUAUACUUGUUUAACAUUUCUUGAAAUUGCAUUUUUUUUCAACUUUUUAACGAAGAAACACGUACUAGAUUACAUAUGGAAGAGAAGUUUGCGAAAAAUAAGUCACGAUUAAUUAAUUGACGGCUUAAGUUAAAGCUCAUAGUCAAUAAUUGGAGUAACAGCAUGAGAAAAGACAAAAUAGAACACUAGCACGUUGGUAACCUAGUUGGAUGACACAUCAUCUACAUUUAAUUAGGAGAUUUUUAGCCUGAUUUAAAAUAUCAUUUUAUAAAUAUUAAAGAGGAUCAUAAGUACAUAACUUAUCCAAGAACCAACUAUCUUGAAUCAUAUAUGACUUUUACAAGAUAAACGUUUAUGUUUGCCCUAAACCACUUGAUGUGUGAACAAGGAAUUCGAUCUAGACUCCUCUAGAUCAUAUGUUGCAUGCAUCAUCCUUGCAUCUCAAUGUGCAGGCUCCCCUGUGAAAUGCCACAAACAAAGUGUUCAACAUCACACACCACAGAAACGGGGUACUUAGUGAAAAACUUUCUCAACACAUAAUUUUGCUGCACAUUUGUUACACCUCUAUCUUCAACCACAUGCAGCAAACAUCACACGGCCACAAUCUUAUAUUUUUUAGGUAACACGUCAUAACAAAACAAAUGCCCAACUCUAUUAAUUUAUUAAUAAAUAUUAACCAACUUAAAAAAGUAUAUAGUAACAACCACAACCAACGGAAUAUCUUUAUUAAUAAUAUAAUAUUAGUCAUAUAUUUAUUAAAAAAUAUUAGCAAACAUAACAAUCAAAUCUUCAAAGUCAACGAGAUAUCUUUAUUAAUAAAUAUUAUCCGUAUAUUUAUUAAUAAAUAUUAACCAUAUAUAUUAAGAAAUUAAGCUCCAAUUUUUCCUACCUCAGUUACAAAGUUAAAGCUGAAAUGGGUGAUUCCUAAACAUUGUAAAUAUGAAAAUCACAACCUAAAUCUUUAACAAAUCUAACUCCUUUACUCCUCAAUUCAAUUAGAAUCAUUGUUGUCAUUAUUAUCACUAGGAGUAGAGGAACCAAACUUAGAAGUUCGUUCGUGAAGGACGACUGGGCACGAAGGGCAGCACGAAGACACACACAAUUUGCUCGGCAGUGGUGGUUCGAUGAUGGAAGAGAGUGAUUAAGAAGAGAGGGUUUGGGUGAGAAGUUUAGAGUGAGAUGAGAUGAGAGGGAAGAAGAGUGAGUAAAGUGAUUAGAAGAGAAUUAAUUUUUUUAAAAAAAGAUUAAGGAUAGUUUUAAUGUCAGUUUUAAACCGACAUUAAUUCUUCCUUUUUGAUGUUGGUUUAAAAUCGACAUUAAACAUUUGCAUUUUUAAAAUCUGAUAUUAAACAUCUGUUUUCAUUUUUUUCAACUGACAUCAUAGGGCAAAUUUCUUCUAGUGAUACCAAUUUUAAUUCUAACUUCCCUAAGCAGGUGUUUGCGGCGAGGAGUGACUUGUAAUAGUUCUGAGAAUUAUAAUAAUUUGAGUAUUAUAGUAGUCUGCAUUUAGGAUACAGACUAUUAUAGUCUGCGUUUCAGGUGCAACCUAUUAUAGUUUGUGUUUGUGGUGAAGAUUAUUAUAAUUAUUUGUAUAAUUAUAAGCUGUGUUUAGGGUGGAGACUAUUAUAACUUGGGUUUUUUGCUACUUUUUUUUUCUUCCUUAAAUUGAUUUUAUUAAAUCUUUUUAAUUAUGAUAUUCAUUUAAUAAAUUUAGCCUCAAUCUUGAUUUUUCAUUACUUUUGUUUUCUACAUGUAUACUCUACAUGAAAUACACAUUUUUCUUAAAUUAACUUUAUUAAAUCUUUUUAACGUGUGAUAUUCAUUUCAUAAGUUUAGCCUCAAUCUUGAUUUUUCAUUACUCUUUUUUUUCUACAUACAUAUUGUACAUGAAAUACAUGCACGAAGGAGUGAGAGGGGAAGUGAGAAGAAUUAGGGGAGGGAAAUACGAGGAUUAUGGAAACCCUAAUACUAGAAUUUCCAUAAUUCGGGUCUCAAACAAGGAGUGAGUUAUUUUAGCCAACUCUACUCCAUGCAAAUAUGUGGCCCUAAUAAUUUCCUCAUAUCUUUACAUUAUGGGUAAUUAUAAUUUGUGACAAUUUUAGGAAUAAUAAUUAAAUAUCUAGCAACAUUUUUUUAAAAAAUUGCAUAUAUGGCAAAAUCUAUUAAUGAUAGACCAAUAUUUGCUACAUGAUCUAACAGAUGUUGCUAUAUUUACAAAUACCAACUCAAAACGCUCAUCCCUACUCUACCUCACUCUAAUACCCACCCUAAAUGUCUCAUAAGAAUUUAGAAAGUGUUCAUAUGAGUUAAUAACAAGAUGUAUAUAGAAAAUGUUCAUAGUAAGUGAGAGAAGGAUGUGUGUCAAUGUGUCAUACAAUCUUCUCUAUCUAGAGAUGUUUAAAAAAACCCAUGGGGUUGGGGUCCCGCCAGGUGCCAGCUCGAAAGAGGUGGGGAUUUCCUAUUUACAUAGGAAAUAGGGGAGGGAGUAGGGAAUGUUUUCCCCAUUUUCAAUUCGAGACCAAGGAUAGAGAUUAUAUUCCCCAUCUAUAAGACCCAAACUUAAAUUAAAAGUUAAAAGACAAAAUUUUGACUAAGUAUGUAACUUGACCUUUUGGAUAAGAAGGCGUUUUAGUUUGAGAAAAGCACUCACAAAACUUUACAAAAGAAGUUCUUCUUCUUCUCACAAGCCCCUUCUCGUGUAGCUAAACUAGCAAUACUUCAACAUUUCAACAAAACUUCCAUCUUCCCCUCCUUAGUUGCCCAAAUCCUCUUAUUUAUAGAACCCUUAAACUAACUUAGUCAUUUAUAAACUCUUCUCAGUUCAUUAACUCCUGCUUAAAAAUUUACAUGUAUAAAUUUAGUAUUCAACCUAGCCAUGCUUAAAUUCUUAAUCUUACAUAAUCCCUGUCAAAUCAAAUUUUACAUUUUCUACGCCAGACCUUGCUUCUCGCCAAACUCGAACCGCGAAUAACUUCAACCACUUAACAUUUCUCGUGAAUAACCUUAUCGCAUGGUUAUAUUUUUACUAUAAGAAACCUUCUUGCAAACUAACCAACUUUUACUCGCAUGGAACUCUUAUCGCGAACUUAAACUCUAAGGCUUUCUUGCAAACUUCUUCUCCACGAAACACUUGGUUCUUCUCGUGAAGACCACCCAAAAUGCCUAGUCUAACACUUUGUCAAAACUUUUACUUCUUAACUUACGCGAAUAUUUUUUCUCUUCUUAUCACACAACUUCUUUCGCGAACUACGCACUUAAUCGCAAAAACGUAUACUUAUCCAUAAAAGAUUCUAUCGCUUAAUCCUUUUCGCAAAUUUAUUCAAACGCCAACUUCUUAAUAGUACUUUAGCCGAAUUUUACUUUCUUACUCAAAUUAGAAAUGGGUCUCACAAGUGGAAUGAUUUGAAGUUAACGAAUGUUCAUUAGCUCGGUUUAAAGAGUUUAGCUAGUUAAUCUUGGAUCGUUGGAGUCCAUGAUCUAUAAGUCCAUUAGGAUCCCCUACUAGCUCAUAUGGAAUAUACUUAUAAUAGUAUAUAAGAUUAAUUCAAAUUAUUUGAAUUAAGAAAGGAGAGUAAAAUCGAGUAUAUAUGGUAUAGUUGUUGGUUCGUUUAAGUGAAUAUUUAACUAAUUAGUGGAUUUGAGUGUUGGUCGAAUUCGGUAUUUUGGUUUUAGACACCUUAUUUAAAGUUAUGUCUCAUUUGUUUAUCUUUAUUUCUUUAAAGAAUUGUCAGAACCCGCGAGUCACAUUUUCAAAUUAUUUUUAUUGAUUUUGUCAAUUUUAUGUUUUCAAAUAUUUAUUAAUAUUAAUUUUAGAAAAAAUUUAGUUUUUCCCUUUUCAAGAAAGUGUAUUUUGAUAUUUAUUGUUUGAGUAAUAACCUUAGCUUAGUUUAAAAAUUUGGAUUGUUACACCUAGCUCACUAACAUAUAAUGUUUAAUGAGGUGUUGGAGUUUGGUGAAUAAUUACAUACAAUUGUUAUAUGUAAUUUCUUUUUUUAAGGUGGGCAUUUUCAAAUGUUUAAAAAAGUUUUUGAUAAUUUUGUCUAUUUCCCCCUUAAUAUUCAUCAAAAGAAAAAAAAAAAACACCAAAUCUCUUAGAAGCUUAUAUUAUCCUCCUCUUUUCAUCUCUCUCUCAUUUUAAUCCUUCACUCAUCGGGUCCCAUAGCCCGAUUCUAAGUCUAGAAGAUAGUCGGUAUACUCUAGUGGCAGGUUGGUGUCGAUUUCGUACAAAAUCCACAAAUAAUAAAAAACAACAAAGGUAUAAUUUUUAUUAACCCUAGUUAAGUAAAUUAGGGUUCUUGGACAUUGAUUCUUAUUAAUUUAGAUGCAAUUAUAGUGUAAUUAUAUCUAUUUUCCGCUGAGUAUGUCUAGACUUCUAUUAUUUUGUGGCGAGUGGUUGAACUUGAACGCCUAGUCCCUCAAAUGGGCUCUUAGUAAAGUUUUUUUCACCUCAAAGUUAUUCUUUCCUCAAGUCCUAAGUUGGCUAACUCUUCACACACACUUCCUUAGUUCUUUUACCUAGUACAAAGCACACGUAAUGACCCAACUCUUUAUACUGAGCUAAAGUCAUUACCAAUAAAACAAAUAAAACUUUUUUAUUUAAAAUAAAAGAAAAUACUAAGUUUUAAAAGAAACACUUCAAAUAUUAAAUCAUAAAAUAUAAGUAAAGUAUGUAAAGAAAAUAAUAAAUGAAACAUUAGUUCGGGCCCUAUUUAAUUUUUUUUAAAAAAAAAUCUCUAAAAGUAAACAUGAGUUCUGAAAAAUAAAUACUGAAAACAAUAAAUGCAGAACAAAACUUAUAAUGUCCUCUAUGGCAAACCACAGUCACUUCUUGUCAUUCUUCAUCUUGUCUUUACCUUUAUCUUUGCAUGAAAAAUUUAACCAUAGAAAAGAAUUAAUAUAAAUUUAUACUCAGUAAGGAACCCACUAUUAGUCUCGCUACGUGUCUAUUAACUUUUCGUUAGAGUCCUGUAAGAAAGUACCGCAUAACUAUUGUGCAUGCUAUCUAGUGAUCCCGUAGGAAAACAUCUGGGCUCUCAGUGAAUCACGAAUGAAUCACCCUAAAGGAGAGUUGGAUUGUAAGUGAUCCCGUCGAAUCACACAUAAAAGUUGGCCACACAUGCAUAAAUAUGUGGUGAUCUCGAGGGACACCCAUAUGAUACGACUCUAACAGACAAAGCUAACAGAACACCAUAGCCUCAUGUAUAUUAUAACAUAAAUAUUACAGCUCAGUCAACAUAUUUCAAUCAUAGCAUGUCUCAUUCAUAAUGUAUCUUGGUCAAAUCAUAUCUCAGUCAUACAUAACAGUCAUCUAUGUAGCCACUCAUAACAAUCAUCUCUAAUACCCAUAUUAUGCAUCUUAGCUACAUUAAUGCAUAAUAAGAAAUAUACAUGCAAGCAGGUGAAUGUAUAAUAGAAUAAUCUCUUACCUAGAGAUUAGCUAAAAAAAAUAUUGUCCCUUCCUAAACACAACAAAAUUAAAUUUAUUAAUUUUGUCAAUAUCACCCAACUACUUAUACUUAAUCAUUCAAACUUAUCCAACUUACCAAAGCUAAGGUUGAAACCGACACAACUUUGAGUGUAAAUUUCGUCGCCUUAAAUCCUCAAAUUAACACUUGAACCUUCACGUAAAAAUAACUCAACUCAUUCCCAACGAAAACUUACCAAACCCAACAAAACUUACCUAAAAGACUCAAGUAGGAUGAAAUGGUUGACUUAAAGAGGGCAGCUCGCGAUUGGAAGAGAGUGGAAGCUGGAGGAUGGUUCACGCGGCUAAAAGACGGCUCGAAAUGGAAGGUGGUCAACUUAGACGACUACGACUUGUGAAGGAGGAACGCACGACUCGGACUUGAAGAGGCUUUGGCCGGAGAGGUAACACAGACGAGAAGACGACACGACUGGAGAAGAUCAGCUCGAACAGAAAAGCUUUGGCUCGCGUACAAAGGGUGUUCCAAUCAACGAUGAGCGCAUACAUUUCAGCUUCUCCGUCCGAUGUGCAUAAAAAUAUUUAUGCGUCAGGGCAAAUAUGUCGGGAGAGGAACUCCCAACUCACAACUUGUUGUGCGUCGGAAAUUCCUAAACCCAACAUUGUAUGAACGUCAAAGAUGUUGUCAAUAUAGUGUAGGAAGUUCCUACGAACUCCCGACGCAAAUGUGUAGGAACUCCCAACACAAAUGUGUGGAAACUCCCGACGUAAAUGUGUAGGAUCUUCAUUUGCGUCAGGAGUUCUCUAUUUUUCUUUUUUUAAAAAAAUAUCUUCCAUCUCAAGUUCAACACUUGAAUCUCAAAUUCACCACUUCAAUCUUAACUUCAACACUUCAAUCUCAAAUUCACCACUUCAAUCUCAACUUCAACACUUCAAUCUCAAAUUCAACACUUCAAUCUCAACUUCAACACUUCAAAUUCAAAUUCCUAAAACCUACAAACUAAUCCAAAAAUUCUAACAACACUUCAAAUUCAGAUACAAUACUAAAACGUAUAACUAAUUCAAAAUCUAAAUACUAAAACUAAUUUGAAAUCUAAAACCUAAAACUUAAAACUAAUUUGAAAUCUAAAUACUAAAACUAAUUAACUAAAACAAAAGAAUAACUAAACUAAACCACUUACCGGAAUGAAGAGUGACGACGAGACGACGACGAAUGGUUGGACAAGGACAACGGCGACAAAUGCCCUCUUCUUCUCGAUCUCCCUCUCUCUCUCUCUCUCAGUUUUCUUUCUCUUUUCUGUUUCUAUUUUGUAAAGAAUUGAGUUAAAAAAGACGGUUAACUCCCGACACACAACGAAAACGUCAGGAAAUGGGCCCUUAUUCUCUACGCGAUUAGUGACACAUCGGGAAUCCCUAAACCUUAUUCUCGACGUUGUUGACACCACGUUGGAGGAAGACAUAACGUACAAUUAAUGAUAUGUCCUUCCUCCGACGCAACACUAUAGACGUCGGGAAUAGGUGCACAUUUCCCGAUGCACCUGGCACCACGUCAGAGGAAGGUCAAAUGGUACAAUUAAUUGUCCACCCUCUUUCGACGCUACACUUUCCAUGUUGGGAAUAGGGGUCCAUUUUUCGACGUACCUCAUACCACGUCGGAGGAACCUUAAACCAUUACGAUAGUUUCGAUGCUAAUAUGUCUGCGUCAAGGGAAAUACCCUUCCUCGACGUGCACUAAGAUGCACCGAAAAACACCUACUUCUACUGACGUCAUGUUUCUCGAUGAUUUUUUCUGCGUCGGAAAACAUCUAAUUUCUUGUAGUGAUAUCAUUCAUUUGAAACCAAAAGCAUGAAGUUUACAUUAGGGAAUUUAAAGAAUUCUUAUGCUAAAUUAGCCUAUUCAUAGGCUUCUUUGAAAUUUGUUUGUCACCACCUACUUAAUUAAGUUGAUGCUUAACCUUAGUUGGCUAUGUGUCCCCACUAAACCGACUUAAGAGGUUUAGCUCAACAUCUAGCCUACCAACUUACUUUGGUCGCCUUGUCCACGUCUUACACCAUUGGCCGCAUAGUCUCGUUUAAGUCAGCUAACCCUCAUGUGGCAUGACCCUUCCUCCUUCCAAAUUGGCCACCUAGUAAGCAUAUCCUCCUAACUUUAAUCUCUUUGAAGAUACUUAGCCUUGUGCCAUAGUCCUCACUUUGGUCUCCUAACUCACAUACUUAGGCCGCCUAAGAGAUACUUAGUCCCAGCACAACCUUCAUAGUAUGAUCACCUAACACUCCAAGGACCUAGCAUCUUCUUGGUCGUUCAACUUUGUUUUGGUUGCCCUUUGGCUAUUCACUUUGAAUGUCAUUAGCCAACAUCUUGACUACAUACUUAGCCAACUCUAUACUCUUGAUCACUCUUUGUUAACAAUACAUGUCAUCAACCUAUAUAUAUAUAUAUAUAUAUAUAUAUAUAUAUAUAUAUAUAUAUAUAUUUAUUUAUUUAUUUAUUUAUAUUUAUAUUUAUUAUUUUACCUUGCUAUGGAUGUUAACACAAUUUGUCUGUUCUAUUUUAUUUUAUUUGACACUUCUGAUUUGUUUCAAGAUUUUAAUUUUUUUUAAAAAAAUAAAAAUAGUAAAGGGUAGAAAAACCCGAAGGGAUGCGGGAGAUUUGUGUUUUGGAGGAAAAAGAGAAUAAACUUAGUUUUUAGUAAGGGUGUAAGAAUAUGAGUUGAACCCAAAUAACCCAGACUAUCCAACCCAUAUUAUAAGAGUUGGGUUAGGUUAGGUUAAAAAAUUUUGAUUUUUUUUUGGUCUGGUUGGGUCUCGGGUUGGAGGUUUGAAAAAUUCGGUUUAACCCAACCCAACCUGGUCUUUCUCCCAUCGCACGCGCCGCUCACCUUUCUUCACUAUCUUCAAUUCUUCUCUUCUAUCUCACCCCAGUCUUCGAUCUUCUCCCUCACAAUCGCGUCGUCCACCUCUGUUUCCGACGGUUGAUCAUCUCCCUCUUCGGUUUCCUCUCUCCCUCUUCGAUCUUCUCCCUUACAAUCGUGUCAUCCACCUCCAUUUCCCUAAACCCUAAAAAAAAAAGACAUAUAUCAAAUCCAACUCAUAUUUUACGGGUUAGGUUGAAAACUAAAUUCGGGUUGUCAACCCAUAUAACUCAAAAAUAUGGAUUGGGUUGAGAAUGUCUCCCAACCCAACCUAACCCGAUUACAUCCCUAGUUUUUAGAUUUAUAUGAUAAAUGUGAUGAUAAUGUUCCUAUAUUUGCAUAAAAAGUUUAUAAAAUAAAUUAAUAAGAAUUCAUGAUUAUUUAUCAAUCUUAGUAAUACAAUGGAUCUAGAUCCAAAUCAUUCAAAUAUAGAAAUACAUCUUAACCAAUUAAGAGGAUUCUAACAACAUGGAUAGAAGUAAAGUAAGACUUUUUUUUUUUUUUUUUAAAUUUAAAAAAAUUUAGAAAGCAACGUAAAGCCAAAAUACGAUUUUAAUUUCUACUUUUUUAUAAUUGACUGACCGGUUGUUUUGGUGUCCAGAUAGAGAAAUUCGACUAAACUCAACCUGGUUUAAUAUAUAUACUUCUUAGGGUUUUGACAUUUCCCUCCAUUUCGUCCUCUGUUCACUCCCAACCCAAAACGCCGUUCUCCGCCAAUUGCCGCCGACCACGCCGUGCUCCUUUCAAUUCAUUGUCCGUCGUCUUGAGCGUGGGCGUCCGUCGAACUGCACCCCAGUCAUCCACCGUUUGCCCUUCGUUGCACCUCCGCUCGCUGGCGCGUACUUUCCAAUUUCUUUUAGUUUUGAGUACAUUAUUCGUCAGUCACCAUAAAGAAUCAAAACUGCUGAUGGACCCGACCCCUCCACUCCGUAGCACUGCAGCCCCCUCCGCGAAUUGCGUUCCAUCUGUAGCAACUGAACGCGAUGCCCUAUUUCCUAAUUCCACUCUCUAGGUAUUUAUUUCUUUCAAUGUUCGACCACGCUAGCAAAUUCUGCAGUCUUUUGCUUUGAAAUUGAAUUAGUUUUUUAAUUUUACUUAUCUGUAUAUAUCAACUGAUUAGAUCCAUUGGUUGUUAUGACCUUACUCUUGUUGUUUCCGAACUUAACCCUGAAUGUCAAUCCUCAAGCAGGUUGAAUAAUUUGAAUUUUUAAUCUUAAGGACAUUCUCCUUUGAAAUUCAGGCAAACAAUCCGUAGAAUGAUCCUGUUUUGCCUUGGCCGAUGACUGUGUGAGGUUUUCUUUUAUGGCUGAAGCUUAAAUUCGGUGUCUAGCCUGUUUCUUUGAGUUGUUUUACAUUCUUUAACCAAGAAAAUGGAAUCCAGUGCAACUCCUGGACCAGAUGAUCCUUUAAUUCUCAAAGAGCAAGAUAAUCACAUUUCAUCAGACAUUUGGGAUGGAAAGGUAAUAGACUUUUAGAUUUUUUGGAGCUUUGAUCAAUGAUAUUGUAUCCAUUUUAUAACCCAGUAUAUAUAUGUGUGUUUUUGUGUAUACAUAGGUUGAGAUAUAUUUUUACUGUUAUGCAUUUAAAAAAUUGCAGGAAAGAGGUGUGCUUAGGUGUCUAGAGCAUACUUCCAUUCUUGAGAGAUGGAAACUUACAGGAAAACAGAUUGAGCUAGUUGAAAAGGCUGGAUUCGGGUAUUUGAGAUUGAUGCCAGCUGUAACCCUUGACUGUGCGCUUAUCUCAGCAUUAGUGGAGAGAUGGAGAAAGGAAACAAAUACCUUUCAUUUUUCAGUUGGAGAAAUGACAAUAACACUUGAAGAUGUUGCUCUUCUACUCGGAUUGUCAAUUGAUGGAAAACCUGUUACAGAUGUGGAUGUUGACCCCAAGUCACUUUGUGAAAAUUUACUCGGGAAAGCUCCAACAGAUUUCAAGGGUGCUGUGAAAUUAACUUGGUUGAAGGAGGUUUUCUCUGAAUGCCCCGAAGAUGCAGGGAUCGAACAAAUAGAGUAUUCUACUCGUGCAUAUCUCUUAUACUUGUUAGGCAGUACUAUAUUUGCCUCAACAAGUGGGAACAAAGUUAGUGUCAUGUACCUUUCACUAUUCAAGGAUUUUGAUGAAGCUGGGAAGUAUGCUUGGGGUGCUGCUGCUUUGGCUUUCUUGUAUAGAGCACUAGGCAAUGCUUCUCUUAAAUCUCAGCGCACUAUUAGCGGUUCUUUAACACUUCUGCAGGCAUGUAAGCUUGUUGCUCUUUUCUUUUAGUGUUCACGAAUGUUGGUAACUUAGGGUCAAUGCGACUAUCAUUAUCUUGCAUCUCUGAAAUGUCGUGUUCUCAUUAAAAUGCUGACACCCUAUCUGGAUUUUUUUUCCUCACCUACAUAACAGUGUUGGAGUUAUUAUCACUUGAAUAUUGGCCGGCCCAAAUUAAAAAAGGAUCCAGAGAAUUGUUUUCCGUUUCUACUUAAAUGGACGGAAAAUAGAAGUGGUUCCCGAAUGGGAAUAAAUUUGCCCACAUACCGUAAGGCCUUGGAUUCUCUUCAGCCCUCUGAUGUAAGUUUCCUAUAAUACUUCAGUAUUUCCCCCUUCUGUAUAAUAGAAGAUUGUAUGACUUUUUUGUUUAUUCAAUAUAUAGGUACAAUGGCUUCCCUACAAGGAUAUGGACUUUUCUGUUGUACCAGAAGAUAUCAAGAACAGUUUGGUCUUGCGCACGUCAAGAACAAUGCUAAUUUGUUUUGAUAAGGCUGAGAAACAUCUUCCAGACCGAUGUUUGAGACAGUUUGGCCUGCCUCAACCUAUUCCGAAGGACAUUGAGGAUUGGAAGCGGAAAAUUUCUUCAAUGGAUAGCAAGGAGGAACUGCCACCAGAGCUCAAAGAAUGGUCAGAGAGGUAUGAAUUUAUCAAUAAUGGUGUUGAUAGUGUAGACGAAAGUGAGUAUCUGCAAUGGUAUGAAAAGAUCACCCGCAAAUUUGUUGGACGAGCCGAAUCGUGGGAGUCAAGAUUUAGACAAACAAUUAAGGCUAUGCAUGAAGUUGUGAAGAUAGUAAAUUCAAUCUCCACGAAUGGGAUGGAUCGAGAGGAUCGCAAGUUAUUCAGUAAUGUGAGAACUAUGGUACAGAAAUGUUGGACUGAAAAAUACGCUGAUUCACCCAGUGAAGGGGAUAGGGAUAGUGCAAAACGUACUGGGAAACGUAAGAGAGAAGGUUAAUCAAAUAUUGAUGAUGGUUAGUCUCCAUUCCCCUCUAAAAGCCAGGGUUCUAUUGCACUUUCAAAUAUUGUUAUUCAGUAAAGACCCAGAAAAUGCCAGUGUGGAAACAUUUUGACACUUGAUAAAUGUAUGAGGCAGUUCUUGGGAUGGCUCAGUUUAUAAAAUCUUAAUUUGCCUAUGCUCUCCGGACGAACAAUGGAGCUGGGGCAAUUGGGAUAUUCCUACAAGAGUUUUCGGGCAAUUGGGAAUCAGUAGACUUCAGUAGACGUUUGAUGCAAAGUUUUGGAAACUCUCCUCUGCAAUGCAAUUGAUCCGGUACUCUUCCUUGUUUUUCCUUUGGAAGAGCGAAUAUUCCAAGGUACACCGAGGUAUUGGAAGUUAUUCAUUGGGUGACCUUUUCCAAUAAAUGGUUAAUUGAUGAUCACUAGAAAGCACUUCUUUUGUUCAAUUUAUAACUUGGGAGCAGAUUCCUUCUUUUUGUUGCUAAGAAAUAUCCAACUUGAAUAUAAAGGGGUUAAGACUUGUGUCCUGGACCAAGAUGUUAAGACUUAAGUUUGAAUCUCCUCUUACAUGGAUGAGCUUUUUAAAACUUGUUUUUAGCUUUCAGCAUGUGUAGCCUAAGAAUUCAAAUAUGAACAAUUCAAAUAUGAACGCGUCAUUGGCUUAUGGCCUGUUAAGUGAAGGACUUUCAAAGGACUCAUUUUUAUUUAAAUUCUUUUUAAAAUAAUCUUUGUAAGUGUUUAGAAGUUAUUUGAAAUAACUUAUUAUUCAUCACUCAAAGUUAAAUUAAACACCCUCUUAGUUUCAGCUCUGGAAGUUGAACUUUGAAAACAUUUGUAAGAAGAUUAUGAUACAUAAAAAAAUCUACUUCAACUUUGGUAGAUUGAACUAUGGUUCAAAUAUUAUAUGAUUGAAUCUUCACAUUUUUUGUAUUCCAAGUAUAAUCACAUUUAUGAAAUGCUAAUGUUAGAUAUGAAACACCGGUGAAUUCUUGUAAUUCUAAUUAUAUUUUAAAUAGUGAUUUUAAACCUAUAAUAAAUAAAUAUUGUAUAUGUAACUAUAACUUCUAGUGCAAUCUUGUAGUUUUAAUUAUUUUGGUAAUUUUUAAUCUAUAAUAAAUUGAUAUUAUACAACUAAGAAAAGUCACACAAAAUAAUUGUGAAAUCACACGAAAUAAUGGAUUGUUUCACCAUAUUAAUUAUUACUUUUACGUAUUUUGUUUUGCUUUUAACCUAGCAUGUUAUAAUUUUAUUGGAAGAAUCAAUUUACCAAUUCGUGCGUAGAAACCUCAACCUUCAAUAGAUGUCAAUAGUUGCACUUAAUAAAAUUGAAAAAGGAACCUUUAUUGUCUCUGAAAGAUCAUUUUUAUUGUUGACACUUCAAAAGCAAAUAUGAGAGAUGGAUAAUUCUCACAUAAAAAGAAGUGUUAUGAUAAAUGCUUGUCGAAUUACUGUCUUGAAAGCAAUUACGGUAUGAUCAUGAUGUAACGUGCGCUCGCGAUGAUGUGGAUAUAAUCAAUUGAAGUGUAAACAUCCAAACUUAGCUACUAUAUGUAACUUUUGUAAUACCAGUAAAAAUCUGUUAUAAUAAGUCGUGAUAUUUAUAAUUAGUUGUGAUUAUUUAAACGUUUAUGAAAUUCCUAAGUGUUAAAGGGUAAAGUGUGUUGGAUUGAAGUGAAGUUGGUACGGAAAAAAGGGUGACAGGGACGCAUUCAAGAGACACAGGAGAAUAAUUAAUUGAAAACAUGUGAUGGAAUUUACAAGGAUGGAUUGAACAUUUAACUCAGAAAACAAAAGCAAGAGAUAAACAAAAAUCAAAGUAAAUGGUAAUAAGUUAAAUAAAAUAAUUUAAUUAAGCAAAAAGGGAUAUUUACACCAUUAAGUAAUUUAAUUGAGCUAGAAGUUAACGAGGAAGAAAACGAAGGUUAACUAUGCACAAAACAAUCAAAUUUUGAAGUAGGAGGUGUCAACUUCAUAUGCAACAUCAGCCUGCAGAAGAAGUUUAUUUAAGGAUAACCUUAGCCAAUUGUUCUGAUUUCAUUGGCAAGUUAAACUUGAGAGAGUGUAGUUUAUGUGAGUGUAAUCUCUCUUUUUUUUUUUAACAAAUGACAAAUACGUUUAUAGAGUUUCAAUUAUAUUUACUAGGUCAUGGCAUAUUCAACAUCUUUUAAAGCGAAUGAAUCAAUUAUAUGUACAUAAAUGUGAAUACGUAUAUUACAUCCUUAAACUUUGAUUAAGUAGAAAAAUAAAUAAAUAAAAAGUUUAGAGGCUUGUUAAUAGAUUUAAAAAUUUAUUAGACACAAAAUUAGAAGUUGAAUCGCGGUUAGAAAUUCUCACAUUAUUAUACAAAAAAAAAAGGAUUGUAAUAUAUAUCAAUUUAAAAUUUUUAAACAAUUACAUUUGUAUCAACAUAUUUUAUAAUCUAUUAUAUUUCGUUCAAAAAAUACUAUCACUCACAAUCAUACUAAUCAAACACGUGAGAGAAUUAAUGCAAGAACAAUAUUGAAAUAUAAACAUAAAUAAUGGAUCCAAUUGAUAGUACUUACAAAAAUUCAAGAGUUUAAUGAAACAGGAUUGUGGGUUGUAAGUUCUUUAAAAGUAAUUUACAUAAAUGGUUAAGUAAUUUACAUAAAUGUAACAAACCAAAAUUAUCAUGGCUCGUAUGAUAAUAAGUCUAUGAUACAAUAUUUUUUUUUUUUUUUGUAAAUUAUAUAUAUGACCUUUCGAUUUAUAUCUUCUUUACAAUUUAUUAAUCUUGAGUCAUCUCGGUGCAAUUAAGGUUCCAAGAUUGAAUAACUAAAGACAUGCAAAAGUCUUUCAUUUCGAGACAUCUCGAGGCAAUGUAUGUCCGAGAUCGAAUAAAAUAAAGACAAUUCUUUCAUCUUCGAGCCAUUUUGGUGCCACUAAGGUCUGAGAUCCAAUAUAACUAAAGGAAGAAUGCUUUCAUCUCGGGGCAUUGUAUACCCAAAAUCGAAUGUAUUAAAGGCAGAAUUCUGUCAUCUCGAUGCAUCUCUAUACAACUAAGGUCUAAUGUCAUGUAUUGUAAUCUACAUGAUCGUUUAAAUUUGAAAGUCAUCGUUUAAAAUGGAAGUAUAGGAUUGUGUAGAUCUACAUUUAUGUCUUUCAUCUCGAGUCAUCUUAGUGUAUUGUAUGCCUCAGAUCGAAUGAAUUAAAAGCAAUGUUCUUUCAUCCCGAGGCAUCUUGGGGCAUGGUAUGUCCAAGAUCGUAUAUCAAAAUCUACAUGAUCGAGCGUAUGUGGUUGAUUUAUCACGAGUUGACAUGGGUAAUUAUGGUACUUUACAUUGUGGGCCUAUGGAAUUUUUUCAAUUUUCAAAAUUGUUUUAUAUAAUAUAAAUAUUUUGCCAGUUUGUUAUAUUUUUUAAAAACUCUAAGUUUUACAUAGUGAAGUUUAAAUUGAUACAAUUAUUAGUCUAUGGUUUAAAUUGAUAUGACCUCAAAGUUUAAAGUUUAAAGGUUAAUUUUCUUAAAUAUAACAAAACACCAAAAUAUUUAUGGUCAAUAUAACAAAAACGAAAAGCCCAUGAAGUCAGUAAAAUAUUUUGUAAAUUCUAGAUUUGCUCUUGAUAUUUUGAACGAUUCAUCACUUCUGUUUUUUCUUCUUCUUUGCAAUUUAUUCAUCUUCUCUUUCAAAUUUCUUCAGCUCAUCUUUUCAUAUUUUCUUUCUUCUAUUUUUAUUCAUCAUCUUUUUUUCUUUCUUUCUUCAAGCUCAUCUUCCAGAAUAUCAAGAUCGUUUAAAUAUCACUAUGAUAUUUGAUAUGAUCUAAACGAUCGCCUACCUAGUCAACAUGAUCGUUUAGAUUUGAAGUCCUUUUCACAUCGUUUAAAAAGGACUACAUAUUUGUGUAAAUAUGAUCUAAGCAAUCGCUUACCAUAGUCAACACGAUCAUUUACCAUGAUCAACAUGAUUGUUUAGAUUUGAAGUCCUUUUUCCAUCAUUUAAAAUGAACUACGCGAUCGUGUGGAUAUGUUCCAAACGACCGCUUACCAUAUUCAAUAUGAUCAUUUAACAUGCAUGGUCAACACGAUUGUUUAGAUUUGAAGCAAUUUUUCCAUCGUUUAAAAAGAAUUAAUUACACGAUCGUGUGGAUAUGAUCUAAAAGAUCGUUUAGCGUGAUUAACACGAUCGUUUAGAUUUGAAUCAUUUUUCUCCUCAUUAAAGAAAACUACAUGAUCGUUUUGAUACUACCUAUAUGAUCGUGUAUCAAUUCCUAGACAAUCGUGUAUCAUGAUCGUUUAGUAGACGAAUUACAUACAAGCAUAUGAUCAAUUAAUCGCGUGUUGACUGGGAAUGGCGGAUCCAAAAAUUUUAUAUAGUGGGUCAUCAUGCACUAUAUAAUAUCACACUAAAAAUGUUUAAAAAAAAGAUUUCGACAUUUCGUUGAUGCUCCAAUAACGACAUUCACUACAUUUAUAGUAAUAAAGAAAAAACUAGCAAUUUCCACGUCAUAUUUUGUAAUGUAAACGUGAAUUUAAAAAUUGCAUAAAAAAAGAUAAAGAAAAGAAUAAUACUUUUUUCAUAUAAAUAUUGUUGAGAGAGUGGAAAUUUAGAUCAUCAUCUUUGUUGCAUUUUUUUUCUAAAUACUUAUUAGAUAGCGAACGACCACUAGAAAAAAGUUAGAAUUUUAUCUUAGUUAGGUUUUGUUCAUUUUUUAAAAAAACUAUUUUAUAACAUUAUUGAAACUUAUCAAUAAAAUUGAAAUUUGGAGUCUUGAAUAAAUAAAAUUAUUGAAAUGUUACUGAAUUAACUUGUAGUCUUUAAUUUUGAAAUUAAAUUAAAUUAAUAUAUAAUGUGAAUUAAAAAAUUACACAAAAUGUUUUUUUCUAAAUAUUUGUUAGGUUAGAUAAGUUUUUUUUUUCUUUUUAAUUAUUGAUUGUUUGAAAUAAAAUUUAUUUUGUUACAAUUUAGAAAAAAAUUUAGAGAUUUAAAAAAAUAAUUGUAAUAACCGUUGAAGAGUGAGCCAACAACCAUUGUACUGUAACUAAAAUUUAGCUUAGCUAAAUUAAAGCAUUAUUUAACCUAUGUUUACGAUGAUAUUUCAAAAUUAAUAUUAAAAUAUAAAAACUCAUAAUAUGACAUCUUAAAAUUAAUAUUAAAAUAUAAAAAACUGAUAAUACAACCGCAGCAGUUGUGUUGUGGAAUAAAUCUGCCCAAGUAGUAUUAUUUUUUAAAAACCCAAGUUUAAAUUGAUAUUUUGCGGUAUUUUUAUUUGGUGAAGUUUACUAUUAUGUAAUGAAAUAUUCCACUUGCUCUUAUGUACAUAUCAAACUCAUAAAUGUGAGAAAGGUGGGAAGCUAAAGUUUAUACAAAAACCGAAAAUUAAAGAAUUAAAAAAAUGUGAAGAAUAAUGGUUACAAUGAAGCAAAUGUAGAAAGCGAAACAAUAACGUCAUCAAGCCAUCCCUCACUCACACAAGACUCAUACAAGUCGAAGCUGCCUUAGCCAAUACUCUAACCACAACAGAUCUAUACCUGAGAGGCUUAAUCAACCUCCACGGGCUGAUUCCGCUCUCGUACCCAUCCGCGGUGACAACACUUACCGUCGUCUCCUUCGGAACCACGUGGAACAUCGGGGUCGGUGCUAACCGAGCCUGUCUCUUCCGAAUCUCACUCAACUCUAUUCUCGACGGAGUUUUUGUUAAUCCUAUCAACGCCAUCGGCCUCCUCGAAUUACUCCGUUGAAUUUCAAAUAAUCCGCCCACUGCAGACGAAGAAAACGGUCUCGAUCCAUUUCCGUACCGAAAGCUCUGGUUUCGAAUCAACGAUGAUUCCGAUCUAUUUCUAGAACUUGCAGAGUCUUCAUCUCGGAAUAUGUCCAAAGUCCUCCCGCAGAAAACGAUUUCACUUGGAGGCAACAAUGAACUUGUUUUCCGCUUCAAAUCGGUGCGAAAUUCGAAGAAAUCUUGGCGAUCGUCGUGAUCACUGCAGGAAUCCCCGGCUUCCGAUUGUGGUUCGAGAAUUGGAAAAUCACGGAAAGAGAGAGUGUCUUCGUCGUCUUGAACGUCAAGGACGUCCAACAAAUCUGGAUUAUACUUCACUGACUCCAUCGAAGCAGAAAGAAUGGUUUUAGAAAAAGAAAAUUGCGGUGAAAUGAAGAUGAAGAUGGAAUUGGUGGAUUAAAUAAAGGGAGAAAGAGGAAAGAAGGAGGAUGCUUCCUUUGGAGAACUUCUGGAAGGGUGGAGAUUGGAUUUGAUCCACCAUGAAUUAUAAUAUGGUGUUUUUUUAGCUUAAGCGUGUAUGCCAAGAUUUUCAAUACGGAGACUUUCUAGAAACACACUUAAGACAAGAGACUCUCUAAUAAAACUUUUGUUGUAGUUAUUAUUAUUAUUUCUAUACAAUAUUUUAUUUUAUUUUUUAAAACUUUAUAGGUUUGAUUGAUUAAUAAAUUUACAUUUGCACUAUAAGUUAUAAAUAUUUGGUAACAAAGUUGUAAAUAUUUUAUAUAGGGCUUAGUUGUAAAUAAUUUGUCUAUUUUACUGCAUUCUACAAUUCCUGCUUAUAUAUAAUUGGAAGUCAUCUAUUAAAAAUACUUUUAGGAGAAUAGACUAACUAAUAAAUAUGUGAAGAGUUAGCAGUUGGAUGAUGUGUAUCCAUUGUAUUUAAUAGAAGUGGGGUUGACAAAAAAAUAAUUUUUAAUAAUAUAUAUAUAUAUAUAUAUGUAUGCAUGCAUGCAUGCAAAUACACAUACAUCUAUCAUCUAUAUAUAAUAUAUAUGAAAAGCUAAUAAAAAAAACAUUUUAAGACAAAUUUGUCCCUAUGCAUUUUAAUUAAUCAUAUAUAUUUUUUAAAAUUUGAAAUAAAUAAACGUUCUAGAAUUAGAUGUAUUAAAUUAAAAAAUUAUUAGGUAAAUAGAUUUUUAAAAAACCCGUAACUUAUAAUUGAAUGAUUAGAGUAAUAAUUAACUAGAAUUUAAUUUACUUUUAUAGAUUGAGCUUUAGGGGCCGUUUGGAUGAAGGGUUGAGUUAUGGAAGGGUUAGGGUUAUGAUAAAACUAGUUUUAUGAUAAAAGUUGUUUGGAUGAAGGGUUAUGUGAGUAGUGUUAUGAUAGUGUUAUAAUAAUAUGUGUUUGGGAGAAGGGUUAUGUGAUUUGUGUUAUGAUAGUUUUAUGAUAAUAUGUGUUUGAGGGAAGGGUUAUGUAUGUAGUGUUAUAAAAUUUAUUUUUUAUACAUUUUUUUUAAAAAUUCAUAUUCUAAAUCCAACCAAAAUUUUGUAUAUUUAGUUUACUAAAUUAUUAUAUUUUCGUCAAACAAUUUUCAAUAAUUUCUUUAAAUUUGACGUCUUUUUCCAACAUUUUUUAGGUUGUCGUUAUGUGCAAAUAAUUUAUUAACUUUUUAAAGAAAUUUUGUAUUCUAAAUCUAAUACACAGAUUUAUUUGACGUAAUUGUUACGUUCAAAUAAAUUAUUUAUCUAAUCGUUCUAGUUUUCGUAACACAAUUUUCCUUAAUUUAUUUAAAUACAAUAUGAACUUUUUUUAAGUAAUCGUUUCGGUUGAAUAAAUUACUAUUUUUCUUUUAAGGAUAAAACAUUCUUAGUUUUUUCUUAUCUCAAUAUUAUGUUUUUUUUUUUCUCAUCUUUUUAAAUUAAAGGAUUGUUGUUCUGGAAGCAACAAAAAUGAUAAAAAAAAUUAUAAUAAAUCAAUGAAAGAUAUAAAAAUAAGGAAGAAGAAAGAGAAAAAAAAAAGUACAUUUUGGAAAAAUAUAGCAUAAUUUGGUAAAAAAUUAGAUUUAAAAUUUAAUUCAAAUAAAUCUUAAAUCAAAUCACCAUUGAAUUCAUUUUUUUAAAAGGAAAAUUCUUAUACAUUUCAAGUUUAAAUACUUCCAAAAAAGAUAUUUGUUAUCUUAGUUAAUUUAACGUUAAAUCCUCUUAUUUGAUUUUAUUUUGAUUUUUCUAUAAGUUUAAUAAAAUUCAUUUUUUUAAAUUUAUUUAACUUAAAUUUAUCCGAAAUAGUUUAGAUACAUAUAGAUUAGUUUUAAAAUAAAAUAUUUGAAAAGGUAAAAAACAAAUAAAAGACAUAAAAUAAUAAAAAAAAAUUAAAGUAAAUACAAGUACUAAAUGCAUAAACUAAUCACAAUUUAUAUUUAUUUAAAUUUUAUUUUGUAAAUAAAAUAAAUUAAAAACAAAAUUAUUUUAAGAUUAUUAAAUUAAUUGAAAAAACAAAUGGCAUUUGAUAAAUAAAAGAGUAUUUUUUUUUAAGAAAAAAUGAAAUGGUAAAUUUAUGGAGAAUUGAAAAAGUAGGAUUAGAGAGGGCUGAAGAGAUUGAGAAGGAAGAGAGAGGGGAAGAUGAGUUAUGAUAAACCUAAAACAAGGGUUAUGAUAACCCUUCCCCAAACAAGGGUUGGGUUACCAUAAACUUAACCCAAAAGUGAUAAUCCUUCCUCCAAAUUUAAUAAGAAAAAUGCUUGGCUAAUAAUUAAUUGAAUCCAAACCUACCAUAUAAACACAAAAUUAUUUUAAUGCUUCUCACAUUAUAUGUCAAUUUUUACUUUUUGAAGAUUGAAGAUUGCUCAACAUGAAGAUAGACGAAUGAAAUUGUUCAUAAUAAAAAAAUAUUUGUUAAUUUAUAUUUUGGGUGUGUUUAUUAUAGUUUCUACUCUUUUUUUUUAAUAAUUCAACCGUUCAUAGUAUUUUUUUUUUUUUUUUUUUUGUCUAUAGAAGGUACAUAACUUCAUUUUCUUAAACUUUUAGUUUAUCGAAAAAGAAUGGAUUGAUGAAAAAAGUUGUGAUUAAUAAAGUUUGAAGUUUUUCUAAAAACGUAUUCAACCAAAGUAAUUACAAUUGUUUACAAAUUUAUAUCACACCAAAUCAAAAAUAAAAAUAAAAAACCUCUUUGCAUUUAAAAUUUUAUAGUUGUUACAUUUAUUACACUAUGUUUGAAGGGACACAACCACUAUACGAGAGACAAAAUUUAGUAACACUAGAGCAUUAUUUAAUAUAUAUUGUAAUUUCAAAAUUAAUAUUAAAAUACAAAUAAAAAAUGUAAGAGGGAGACGAGCCCCUACCUCUUAAUAAAUCCGUCCUUGUGUGGAAGACAUAGUCAAACUUAUUAAAUGUGUACGUCAAGCUUCCUAUCUUCCUCCAUAGGGGUUAUUUAAGACCAUUAUAAGUGCAUUUAUGUGUUUAUAUAGCUAGGUUUGUAUUUUUUACUUAUUAAUUAGUAUGCCCCUUAAAAUUUGUGUCAUAUUUUCUAACCGUAUUCAUUCUAGCCAUCUUUAUCGAACCAUAAUUAAAAUUAGUUUAUUCGUAAAAGAAUUUCAUUAGAUAGAUCAAUUAUAGUAAACUUAAAUCGUAAAUAUAAUUGAAUUACUUUUGAUCACAUUUAUUUAGAGUUAUGAAUCCUUCACGUCUACUAUUAUUGUUACCAUUUGACUCUAAGUAGGAUCAAAAUUGUGACUGUAACAAUUAAAUGUAAAGAUAAAAUAACAAAUGUCAGUUCAUAAUUAUCAUAUGAUUACAAUAACAAUAUCUUAAUAACGAUAACAAUGAAGGGUAGUUAGUUCAACAUAAUUUUUAAGCAUAAUUGGAUAAUUAAGCACGUUCCUUAAUCAGAUUAUUUGAUUUGAUUACAAAUUUGGAGGUAGGACCUACGAUUGUUCAUUAAAAUUACAAAACACAAGUAAACAACAACAAAGAUUAUUAACUCGGGCCAACUUUUUAUAUUUUCAUUUAUGAAUUUCGAUUGAGGUAAAUGUGGCCUUACUUGUGUUUAAAUGGUGUUUGAAUUGGAUCUUUGCACAACUCUUGACCUUUUAAAUGGCUUAGAUUAAUGAUAUUAAAACUGUGUGUUUUCAAGAAUUGUCACUUUGUUGUUGUUUUUUCUUUUUUCAAAUAUUGCUUUAGAAUUGAUAUUUAUUGAAUUAGUCUUAGUCUUAUAGUUCUCAAAUGAAUUGUCUUAGAUCUAACAAUGAUUUAUCCUUCUAACUUUGUUUUAGAUUUGUAAGUGUUUGCAAAAAUCUAAAUUAGUAAAUGGUUCAGCAAUAGAGCAAUUUAAUGAAUGAAUUUUAUUUGGAUUAAAUUUUUAAAUGUUUAAUGUAAAAAAUAAGUUAUUCGGUAAAAAGUUGGGAGUAUUUGAAAGCUACUUAAAAUAGUUUUUUAAAUGUAUUUUAAACCAUUUUCACAAAAAUGAGUUUAAAGAAAAAUGAGUCGUUUCUUGAAAAAAAAAAAAUCUUCAGUCAAUCCAAACGGACCCUAUAUCGUUAUUGUGAAUGUCAGUUUGAUGAAAAAGACUAUAAAAAGCAUGAAUAUAAGAGAAAAGUAUCUCUAUUGAUGAGCUAUAGGAAGGAUGAUUCGAACCUAUAUAAUUGUAUUCCAGAAACAUAUACGAGCAUCGUAUGAUUGUAAAACAUUAAUAAAGAUUCACUAGGUGUAAAGAAAGCCUCCAAUAAACAAAGAGAAAUUGCAUUAGAUGACAAUACUUUUAUAUAAAAAAAGUAUAUAUAUAUAUAUAGCUAGUUUUCUUAAAAGAAAAUAAACGUACGUUAGUUAGUUCAGAUAUUUGUAUAUAUAUAGUCUAAUAUGAAAGAUAUUGCAUUAUUUGAUUUGAACCUCCAUAUGUCACAUGGUUUUUAGUUAGAAAACAGAUUAAAUUGGACCUUAAUCUAUAAGAUAUUCUCAAGUCAUCUAACUCUAAAUAUAAUAUAAUUUUCCAGGAUGAAACCUACAAAAUCUAUAAGAUAUCCUCAAGUCUUCCCAACUCUCUCUAUAUAUAAAUUAAUAUCAUUUUCCCAAGAUGAAACCUAAGAAAACAAUCAAAGUCAUAAAAUGUAUCAAUAUGGUGUAGUAUUUUUCAAAUCAACUCAACAUUCAACAACUACACAUUUUGUCUUUUACAAUCCAUAUUUUAGGGGUUUUUUUUUUUGUUUGAGAAAAACAGUUUAAUCUAUCUAUAUAUGUACUUGUAUCUAUACUAUAUUAAAGUGUGAGAUUCAUGAGAAACAUUUUUAGUCUAAAUUAUCCUCCUUAAUUUUAAGUUAUUACAUUUAUGUAUCCUUACUAUAGUGUUUUUAAUUUUAUUAUUCAUUUUAGUUUUAAUUUUAAGUUAUAACAAGGGACACUUAAAAAAUAAAAAGAGGAAAAACAAGUAUUAAUAAUUAAGUCUAUAACACACAUUUAUUGUUUGUAAAAAUGAUAAAGACAAAACCAACCCACUUAUAUAAUAUGUGAAAUGCCAUAAAUGUCUUUGUUACUGAUAUACAUUUGAUACACUUGAUACGCACCUGAUACAUCUGAUACUCUUUGAUACACUUGAUAUACAUUUGAUACUUCUUGAUAACUUUUGAACCUUGAUACACACUUGAUGUACCAUGAUACUCUUUGAUUGUGAGACUCGUUUCUAAUUUGAAUAUAGGAAUUAAAAUUCGGUUAAAAGUAUUAAAGAAAUUGGUGUUUGAAUAAAUCUGCCGAAAGGAUUAAGCGAUAAAAUCUUUUAUGGUUAGUAUAAGUUUUGAGAAAAAGAGGGUUUGCAGUAGAAUCUAUAAGUCUAAACGCUCUAAAAAAAGUUUGCUUAAGUUAAGUUUUGACUAAAACGACUAGGCGUUUAGGUAGUCUUCACGAUAAGAACCAAGGGUUUCGUGAUAAAAAAGUAUGCGAGGAAGUCUUGAAGUUUAAGUUCACGAUAAGUGUUCUAAGCGAGUAAAAAUUGGUUAGUUCGCGAUGAAGGUUUCUUGUAAAAAUAAAACCACGCGAUAAGGUUAUUCGCGAUGAGUGUUAAGUGGUUAAAAUUAUUUGUGGUAUGGGCUUAGGCAGGAAGUAAGGUCUAACUAAGAAAAUGUCAAAUAUGAUUUGACAGGGAUUAACGUGUAAGGUUAAGAAGUUAAAGCAUGUUGGGUUGAGUAUUAAAUUCAUGUGUAAAGUUUUAAGCAGAAGCUGGCAAAGUGAGAAGAGUUUAAGCAUGACUAAGAUAGUUUAAGGGCUUUAUAAAUAGAGGGUUUGGUCAUUAAGUAAGAAAGUUUUAUUAAAAAAAAAAAAAGCUAAAAUGCUAUUGUUUUAAUUUGCUUUUGUGAGAAGGAAAAAAAAACAAAAUAUUAAGUACGGUGAUUUGUUCCGCGAGAAGGCUCCACAAGACGAGAAUGAAGAGGAAGAUUUUUGUUAAAGUGUGGUGAGUGGUUUUCUUCUUAAAAGUUUUGUGAUUCUGCUUUACUAUUUUAAAAGAUGAUUUCAAAUGAGAAAGUGUUUAAAAAAGAAAUUUCUAUGAAAAGAUUAUAUGUCUUCAAGCAUGAUUUAUAAUGUUAAAGCUUGAUUUGAUGAUUACGAUUUCCUAAGAAAUGAUUUUCAAAACAUUAGUUGAUUCCUUGAGAUAAUAAUAACUUUUAUGUUCACAUAAAGAGUCAAGGCCACCAUGGAGUGUAUGGACUACAUGGUGAUAAGAAAUUGGCUUAUGUGUUGAAAGGAGUGUAUAAAGCUCAGCAGUCUAAGCAACAAGGAUGAAUCUGUAUGUUCUCAGAUGUUGUUGAUACAGUAGUCAAACGCAAGGUAAUGAGACCAAGCGUAGAUAAUGAUUCAGGAUCCUUGGCGAAAGAAAUAACUAUUAACUAAUUUGUGUUUAUGUGAAAUUGUUGUGUUAUGAAUGUGUUUGUUAAGCAUAAAGAAAGAUUUAUGCGAGAUGAAAUGAUUUGAUAUUAUUUAUGCGAAAUGAUGUUUAUGGAAAUGUAUUGCGAAAAGGAUUUCAUAAAAUCUCACUAGUCUUUUAGACUUAUUCUUUCAAAAAUUCAUCUUUCAGGAUCAGACGUUUAGGCCAAGUAAAGAAGAAGGUUGAAGGAUUUGCGACGAAAUAACUCUAGACCUUUUGGAAAUGGUUAAACAUUGGUUAUUUGAUCAAAGUGUUGUAAUUAUGUAUCCAACGCCUGUUAUUAAUAAAAUAUACUUAUUUAUUAUAUUUGGCAUUUAGGUUGACCACAGUUGCAUUUUGAGUUUUGUUGAUAGUAUAAAAGGAGUUGAGAAUAAGAUUUUGCGAUAAAAAAGUUUCAAUAAAUGGCGAUAUGCAAUGUGUGGGAAUUUAAUGCUCUCCAAGCCGAAGGGACUUGGUCAUUAGUUCCUCGACUUCCAUCUAUAAAUGUUGUUGGUUGUAAAUGGGUUUUCCACACGAAAUAUAAUCAUGAGGGCUCUGUUGCUUGCUACAAAGCAUGACUAGUUGCUAAGGGUCAUCAUCUGGUACAAGGCUUUGAUUUUGAUGAAACCUUUAGUACUAUUGUCAAAAAAACUCACUAUACGAGUUAUUCUGGCUCUUGUUGCUUAAUGCAAUUGGCAUUUAACCCAGUUAGAUCAAAAAUGUCUUUUUUCAUUGUCUUCUCUAGGAAAUAGUUUACAUGUCUCAACCUACUAGCUUCCACCAUAAAACAUAUCCAAAUCACGCGUGCCUCCUUUAGAAGAGUCUUUAUAGUCUCAAACAAGUCCCUCGUUCUUGGUUUGAUCGAUUUACAUCUUAUUUAUUUACCCUAGGUUUUGUUGCUUCUACUGCCAAUUCUUCAUUAUUCAUUUAGUUUGUUAGGUCUUCUCUCACUUACUUACUUCUAUAUGUAGAUGAUAUUAUUGUCACUCUUCGUAUAUUUUUAUUCUCAAACAACAAUUGGCUCAUGAGUUCCAAAUAUCAAAUCUUGAUCCUUUAAAGUACUUUCUUGGUCUCAAAAUACAUUCCUCCACUGAUGCAAUUUUCCUUAACCGAGCCAAAUAUCUCACUGAUCUUCUUCACACCUCCAUAAUGUCUUUUGCAAAAACUUGUGCCACAUCAAUGUCUACUUUUAUUGAUCUUUAUACCACUACCCUGCCAUUUAAUGACCCCUCCUUAUAUCGUUGGCUCAUUGGUUCCUUACAAUACCUUACUUUUAUCUCUCCUAAUAGUACAUUCUCUAUAAAUCAUGUUAGUUAAUUUAUGCACAAACUCAUUGUUAUUCACUUCUUUGAAAUCAAACGCAUCCUCCGAUAUCUAUAUAGUACUUCGACCAUUGACAUAAAAUUUUUACAACUUCGUUAUCUCUACAAACCUUUUGUGACUCUGAUUGGGCUGGAGAUAUUUCUGAUUGAUAUUCCACCUUUGGAUUCAUUGGCUUCCUUGGUUCUAAUUCAAUAUCUUGAUCUUCCAAAAAGCAACCUACAGGUUCGCGUUCUUCCACAUAAGCAAAAUAUCGCUCACUCGCCACUACCACUACCGAUCUUUACUGGAUCCAAAAACUUCUAUAUGAUCUUCAUGUUCCACUUAAGUCUUCAACAACGUUAUGGUGUGAUAAUGUUUAUGUGUUUCAUGCUUGAAUAAACACAUUGAGUUUGAUUACCACUUUGUUCAAGAAAAAAGUAUUUUGCAAAAACAUUCAUUUGUUACAUCUCUUCCAACGAACAACUUACUGAUCUACUAACAAAGCCACUCUCAUCUCCAACAUUUCUACAACUUCGAGAUAAAUUGCUGACUCAUUCCCAGCGAUCCGUUUUAGGAAGGGUAUUAGAGGAUAUUUUUAGAUUCACAAUUCUCUCCACAAUCUACUCCUCAAUUUCUACCCUUCAAUUUUGCCUAAAUUAUAUAUUCGAUUAUAUUGUAAUAUUUCCAUAUUGUAAUCUCUUGAAUUGUAUAUUUAUAGCAAGCAUUGUAAAAGAAAUAAGAUAUGCAAAAUACAUUAUUCUAAAAUCCUUUCGGCCACUAUAAUUUAAAGCAUCAACAUGGGGCUUAAACAACCAAGCUUAAACAUGACUUAUAAUCAGCACAUCCUUAAUCAAAUAAAUAUUAAUUGAAAACAAGAUUAGAAGAUAAAGAGAUUCAAAUUAACUAACAUGAAGUUCAUACGUACUAAACCAUAACGAAGAACAAAAACGACUAAAAAUUUUAUCUAAUCUACGUGUUACUUUAUGGUUUUUUUCCAAAGUUUCACGAGUCAAGUAGUGUAGUUUUUUAUAGUAUUAUCGGAAACUUACAAAUUAAAGAUAAUGACAAAAAGAUUUAUCCCCCUAAUAGAGAAAAAACUGUAUCGAAAUGGUCAAUCUCAAUUUUGAAGCCAACAAAAAAAUGAUAGAGAAGUCUUGUAAAUAGCUUUAGAUUAGAGGGUAUAUAAGAAAAUUUCAUGGGAUUUAGAUGGUGAAAUUGGGCUUUGACUGGGCCAUAAAAUAAAUGGGCCUAGUGGCCCAUUAGGGGAUGUAAGAAAAUGAAAAAAAAAAAAAAAUUACAAAAACCAUGUUGCAGCUUCGAAGUACAGCAAGGGAAGAGUUUUUGCUUCUGGAGAAUGACGAGGGCCGCUCUCUUCCAUUUGCUACGAUCACAAUCCAAACAUAUCUCGAGAAGAAAUUACUAUUCAGGUAUGUUUCUUCUUCCUUCUUCCAUUUUCCAAUCCCUCCUUGCAAGAAUGAGACAUUUUUCUUUCUCAAGCUUUCAAUUCUGCAAUUUUCAUGCUCCCAGUGUAGUAAAGAAUGUUAAAUUUCUUGUUUGCUUCCGAUGAAUGCGAUUAGAAAAUAUUAACGUUAGCCUUUAAUGUUCUGAAAUUAUCUCAAAAUUAUUUUACAAGACCUCUUCGUGAAGUUUUAUGCCAUAUGAUAGCUUGUCUAGCUAGGGAUCUUGUCUUGAAUAAUCUCAUUUUGAUUUUAGGUUUGAGAUAAAUUUUACCGGAAGAAUUAUGCAUGCUUUGAGUUGGAACUUUGGGUGCAUUUUGCUUCUCUUUUUUUUUCUACACCUAGCUACUGUCACGAACAUUUCAAUGUUCACUUGUUGCACAUGAAUUUAGGGAUUCUUGCAAAACUAGGUUUUAUUUCAUAUUUCGUAUGUGUUACUCCUCUCCUUGCUAAUUAGCUUUGAGGUAGAACUCCAUGUAUAUCUAAUGUGGUAUUAGAAUCUAUGAUAUCCGAAAAAACAUUCUUUGUAAAUAAAUUGAAAUCUGACUCAAGAAUGGUGAGCCCAAAGAGGCAUUAUGUUGAGGGGCAUGUGGAGAGGAGAUGUCAUAAUCUUUAUAGAACACACAAGUUACUUCUCUUAUUGUCAAUUGGCUUUGAGCUGGAAUUAUGUUUGUAUGUGUUCUCUUAAAGUAAUAUUUACACUGAAAGUACGCAUUUGGCUCAUCUCCUUGUAAGACAUCCCUUUUAUCUCUAUAGCUGCCUUGUUUCCUUGUUUCCCACUUCCAAUAUUGUAGUCUAGCAUCGUUGUUUGGUGGGUUCAUCUAAGUAUCACUAUGGAAAUUUUCUUUUUUGCAUAUAACACCCUUAUAAGUUAAAAAAGAUUAAGCAACAUCUAGUAAGUAAACAAAUAAAACAAUGCAAAUGAAAUUCUUGAUUGAAAUCAAGUAAAUUCACAAAAAUGUUGAGCAAAAAGCUAGAAAAUUUUCAAUUCUUUUAACGAGACCAAAAAUUUACUGGUAGAAAAGCACUGGAAAGCAUACAAUAUCAAGUUUUAGCAAAUAUAAUGAAAGGAAAUUGCUGCCCUCUAGGAUUGGAUGUCAGAAUUUACUAUAGUAUUUCUGGUUGUUAACUAUAUUUAGAUACUCAGUUUGUUAUGUGAUAGGGUGCUAGCCACUCAGGUAUUCAGGGUUGGGAGGCUUCCAUCUCUUCUCUGGCAGUUACUGAAGAUUCGUUUGUAUUUUUUCCCCUGCUUUUCUUCCUUCCCUCACAAUAACUUAAAAGACAAGCAUAAUCUUAGACCAAAUAUAUCCAGGACUAGCAAUACUUUAAUUUUUAGGUUAAAAAGUACAAAUAUUAAGCACUAGAAACAUGCUAAUCGGGCUUGGUGUAAGACUUUCUGUGGGAAAUAACUCCCUUUCUAUUAAUCACUUGCAAUUGCUGGAUGAUGCCAUUCUUGUUCUCUUACUUCGUGAAGUCCUCACAUUCUCGUUAUUAUUGUCAAGUCUUUGUAGAGGCUUCGGUCCCUACCAUAGGUAAGGUAAAUCAGAUAUUGCUGGCAUUGGUUGUGUGACCUCCAUCAUUAAGCUGAUUGCUCUGAACUUCAGCUUAGAAUCGGGACACUGGCCAUUUCUUACUUAGAGCCUCCUCUGUUUUUUCUUUAGACCUUUUUAUUGAAAGAUGAGAAAAUAAACUCUAAUAAAGAAAAUGCCUCAUUGAAGAAGGCAGGCAACCUUAUUUGAAUAGAUUCUCUCUAAUCUUCUUAUAAUAUCUAAUAAAGAGAGUAGAGAGCCCAGUGUCAAUUGAUUUUGAGGUGGAAUCUCAUGUUAUAUAAUGUCAUAAAGCCAAAACGGGUAUUUGAUCCAAUAGCAAAUUGAGAUCCAAUAAAAAAUGGUGAACCCAAAAGAGUCACAUCAUGAGGGAUCAUGUUGAGAAUCCCACAUGGAAGAAACCAAGAGAACUGAAACUCCUUAUUUUAGGAUAGGACCCCUUUGUCAAUUGGUUUUGAGAUGGAACCUCAUUGCUAAGAAUUCCACAUAGGAAAAACUAAGGUACCUCGCACUCCUUAUAAGAUAGACGAAUUUCUUUCCUAUUGUCAAUUGGUUUUAAGAUGGAAUUAACUCUAUGCUUGUGGGCUCGAAAUAUGAAAACUCAACAAGUGGAAAUGAAUAAUAAUUGGAGAGAAAACAACAAUGUAGAGGUUUGAGAAAAAACAACAAUUUAGAGGUUUGAACACAGGAUCUUCUGAACCAACCUGCUUUAAACCCCUCUUCAAUCAAUACCAUCUUAAAUUAUCAAUUGACUCAAAGUGGCUUUUUUGGAGAUUUAUUUGACAUGGAGAUUUCACCUUGAAAAGGAUAAUUUUUGGAAGAAAUUUGUUGUUGCUAGAACGGCAUUGCUAAUGAUGGAGGAAAUGUAUUUUGUUUACUUUUAAAAUUGUAAAUAUUUUUACUUCUGGCUCUUGCAUACAGUGCAUUGCAUAUGAUCCUACCCAACCCUGAGUACCUUUCCUACAUGUUGGACGAUCUUUCCCAUUCUUCCAUCAUCCAUGGGACUUGGUUUUCCUUGUAAUUGUUUAUUCAAUGAAGUUAGUUGUUCAAUUGUUUGUUAUUGUUUUUUUUAUCAGAAAAGCUUUAGUUAUUUUGACUUGGAAAGCGAGAGAAUUAUACAACAGAAAUAAGGAUGGUCUAUUGGUCUCUCUAUAUUUCCAUUAAAAGAAAGAAAUGGUUUUAAACUCAACUUAUAAGCAGUAUAUUGAUGUCUUUUUGUUCCCUUUUGUGAAGGAGUUAGCAAACAAACUCAAGACGAAUCAUUAUCUGAUGUCACUAUCCUUCAUGAGUCCGUCUUAUAUUUGUUAUUUAUUUUGGAUUUGCUUCACUCUCAAAGCCCUGGGCCUUGUCUUGUCUUGUUUUCAUUAUUUUUAAAGAUAGUAAUAGCUAGGGUUUUUCCUUCCUUAUUAACUAAGAAAAAUCGAAUUUACUCAGCCUAAAUGCAAAAGUUCUCUUGUUCAGAUUGGUUUUUCUUUUUCAUAUUUCCACUCCAACUAUGCUUUCUCUUCUUUAUGUAAUAUUUUUGUUUGCGCUUUGCAGUUAAGCUCUAGAAGACUAAAGCUCUUUUUAUCUAAAAGUAAGUGCUCUUUUGCCUCAGGUUAUCAUCUCCAACGAUCAACAGCAUGGAUCAAUGAAAAAUUUGUACCCACCAGCAACUUUCUUUCGCAGAAAAAUGCAGUCCAGAAGAGAUGGGCAUCUCAAGCUACAACAAGAGAAGAUGAUGGCAAGAUCAGCAUUGGACCCGGAAGAGGACAAGAAGCCGAGGAAGAUGAAAAAGAUGUUGCUUAUAUUGGGCCAAUCUCGUCAACUAUCAAAAAAGUCAAGCUUCUAUCUUUAUCUACAUGCUGCCUCUCUGUAUCACUCGGACCAGUCAUAACCUUCAUGACGUCCCCCGACAUGAAUGUGAUUCUGAAAGGUGUUGUUGCAUCAUCUGUGAUAUUCCUCAGUGCUACUACUACUGGAGCGCUUCACUGGUUCGUGAGCCCUUAUGUUCAUAAAAUUAGGUGGAAACCAGGUUCAGACAGUUUUGAGGUUGAGGUUAUGUCGUGGCUGGCGACUUACAUUCCACGAACCAUUAGAUUUGCUGAUAUUCGACCACCCGAAACAAACCGCCCCUUUGUGACAUUCAAGGCUAAUGGGAGUUUCUACUUCGUAGACAAAGAGCACUGUCAGAAUAAGGCACUCUUAGCCAGACUGACUCCUCAGCAACGCGAAUCAGCUCUUAGAAACUUAUGAUUGUCUUGGAGACUGACUUUUCUUUUUCUUCAUUGAGUUGAAGGCCAAUGAGAUGGCUGAACUGUUGUCAUAAAUCAUAUACUUUCACCAUAGACAAAUUGCUGCUCAUUGUACUGUUUAGAUCAAUUUUGGCAGAAUGGUUUUUUUAAAACACAAUAAUUCAUUCAUGUGUACAACCUUUGAUAACUGAUAGAUGAUACUACAUAACAUAUAUUACGUAGUUUGGAAUUUUAAAAAUAGUUUCUAUUAACAUAUUCUUUAUAUAUUUUUGAAAAGAUACUCACAUAGUAUAACUUUUCGUAAAUUUUUUUACUAUGUAAACCAUUUUUAUCCAAAUACUUCUUGGACUGAAUUUAAGAUUUGUUUAAAGUUUAGUGAUAAUGCAAUCUUAAUUCUUAACCUAAAAGUUCAAACUUUUUGUUGGUAGGAAGAUUUAAAUCCAAGAAACUAACUCCUUGUAUGAAAUUUAAAUCAACCAAAAGGGAAAAGGGAAAAAAAAUGUUAGAAUUAGAUUAUCUCUUUCCGGUAGGAUUUCAAACUUUGUUCCAUUCUACUGUCUCUCUACAAAUUUGAAGAAAAGUUGUUUGAAGAAAAGUUGUUCAAAUUUCUCAGAAAAAACCUCAAAGAAUGAGAGCUCAAAUUAGAUUAAUAAAAUCUUCGAUCAAGAUUAAAAGGAUGAAACAAUUGGUAUAUAGCAUUUUAUAGAGAUUGUAAUCUUUUCAAUCUAUAGACACAAAAUUCAAAAUAAAAUAUUAAAGAAAGAAGUUAUUUUCUAAAUCUCAAUCUUUUCAGCUACCAUCUUUAAUGUAUCUUCAUCUUUACAACCACUAUCUUUAAUGCAUCUUGCUCCAGAAACAUUAACUAAGUUAAAAUUGCUAAAGAAAUGUUAAGAAAACUAAUAACAGAAGUUAUCAACUUACGUUCGUUAAUUACAAUUGUGUCAUGAUACAUAUCAUCUGAUUUAGAAACUGAAUUUGAAUAACUAAACUAAAACUAUAGAAAAUUUAUUGAAAUUCACUAUUCUUUACUCUAAAAACGUCAAGUUGUUUUUUUGUUCAUCCAAAAUUACUUUUUUUUUUUCUUUACACCUAUCCAGACUAAUUUACAUAUACCACGACAAGUUUUCUUAGUCAAAACCCUACACAAUAUUUAGGUAACACAAAAACCUAGAAAAUAUUAAAACUUAGGUAAAUAGUCACAAAAGAUUGAAUCCAUACCGAUAGCCUUCUUACCAAAGUACAUGAAAAAUUGGCUCUUUUUUUCUAUUAUGCUAAUGGUUUAUUAUUCAUAUCAGGGUAGUGGCUCCGAAAUCAAGAAACCAACGUUGAUGAGGAUGAAAAGGGGAAGAGAGUUGAGUGAAAUGUGAGCACAAAGAGUGUGUUAAGGAUCCCGAAAUAGAGGGUUGUGAUGCGAGGAUUGUAGCAAUUAGAGAAAGUAGUGUGUCCAAAUCAGGUACAAAAUGAGGUUUAUUUGGUUUGGAAGACGACAAAAGAUUAUAGGGAUCGGAAUGGGGAAAGGAGAGGCAAGAUCAAUAGCAGGAGGCAAAGAAGAAGCAUAACUCAAUACAUUUGUGAUUUAGGGAAGAAGUUGUGAAGGUAGAGGUGAAUGUUGUAGAUUGGCCAAAUUGGAACGCACAUUAUAUGAACUUGCACGACGCUUCACCAGAAACGUAUGUAAGACCAUUGGAGCAGAAGUAGGUACCUGAACUUGCUCAUCUCAUGUCCCUUGUCUACUCGUUCAUAUAAAUUUCACGUAUUCACUUCAACAUAUCCGCUUUUGCAUUUUUAAUAUGAAUUUUAAGUAGUUUUAAAUAUAUAUAUAUACAAACUCAACAUAUUAAACAAUAACAAGAAACCCUAAACAUAAUUUUUUUAAACUCCACUUCACAACAAAAUUUUAAAACAAGAAAAGACCAACAAUAGUACACUUUAACAAUGGCAACUCCACUUUUGUUGCCAUUGCAAGUUGAGUUUAAGGUUCUUUUAAGCUUUUUGAUUCUUUCAAAAAAGAGAAAAAAUGGUUUUGAUGGGAAAUCAAUCAAGAAAUGGUCACAAAGGGGGGCCUUGACAAUAUACUCAAACAAAACAACGUAUAUAAGAAACAGAAACAAAGAUCAAUACCAGAAAAAAGUAGUUUGAAGUAAAACGAGCAUAGAACAUAUAACCUUAAUUAGGAAGGACUUGCCACCGCCGAUCAAGCACCCAAUUCUGAGAGAAUCUGCUUAACGACGAUGGAGGAAACUUAAAGACGCAACCAACGAAACAGAGACAAAACAAACCCCAACCAGAUAGUAAUUUAAUAAGAACCCACUCAUCAUUCUGACAAACUUCACCACAGCCAACGGCUACUCGUACCAUUCACUUCCCUGAUUUCUUUGCUGCAGACUUGGUGACCUUGGCGCCCGAUGCAUCCUUCUUCUCAACGGCCUUGAUGACACCAACAGCCACGGUUUGACGCAUGUCCCUCACGGCAAAUCGUCCAAGAGGGGGAUACGCAGAGAAUGUUUCCACCACCAUAGGCUUGGUGGGAAUCAUCUUAACAAAUCCAGCAUCUCCGUUCUUCAAAAACUUGGGCUCUUUCUCCAGUUCUUUACCAGAUCGCCUGUCAAUCUUAGUUAAAAUCUCGGCAAAUUUGACAGCAAUGUGAGAUGUGUGGCAAUCGAGUACAGGUGCAUAACCAUUUCCAAUCUGUCCUGGAUGGUUCAUGAUGAUAACUUGGGACGUGAAAUUGGCAGCUUCCUUGGCAGGAUCAUCCUUGGAAUUUGAGGCAACAUAACCACGCUUGAGAUCCUUCACAGCAACAUUCUUCACGUUGAACCCCACGUUGUCACCAGGGAGAGCUUCUUGGAGAGCUUCGUGGUGCAUCUCCACAGACUUAACUUCAGUAGUCAGUCCAGAUGGAGCAAAGGUUACCACCAUACCAGGCUUUAUAAUGCCAGUUUCAACACGACCCACUGGAACAGUUCCAAUACCUCCAAUCUUGUAGACAUCCUGAAGUGGAAGACGAAGGGGUUUGUCAGAUGGCCUCUUAGGCUCUUGGAUCAGAUCGAGAGCCUCAAGAAGGGUCGGUCCCUUGUACCAGUCGAGGUUGGUGGAUCUUUCAAUCAUGUUGUCACCCUCAAAGCCAGAGAUGGGGACGAAGGGAAUUUUUUCUGGGUUGUAGCCAACCUUCUUGAGGUAGGAAGAAACUUCCUUCACAAUUUCAUCGUACCUAGAUUUCGAGUACUUGGGCGUGGUGGCAUCCAUCUGUCACAUAAAUAGCCAAGUCAGUAAGUAACAAAACACGAAAAAACCAGAAUACUAAAGAAUCAGGAUUGACUAUAAACAUCAUUACCUUGUUACAGCAGCAAAUCAUUUGCUUGACACCAAGGGUAAAGGCAAGAAGGGCGUGUUCACGGGUCUGCCCAUCCUUAGAAAUACCAGCUUCAAAACCUCCAGUAGUGGAGUCGAUAAUAAGAACAGCACAGUCAGCCUGGGAAGUACCAGUAAUCAUGUUCUUGAUGAAAUCACGAUGCCCAGGGGCAUCAAUCACAGUGCAGUAAUACUUGGUGGUCUCGAACUUCCACAGAGCAAUAUCAAUUGUGAUACCACGCUCACGUUCGGCCUUAAGUUUGUCCAACACCCAGGCAUACUUGAACGAUCUCUUGUUCAUCUCAGCAGCUUCCUUCUCAAACCUCUCAAUAACACGCUUGUCAAUACCUCCAAGCUUGUAAAUCAAAUGGCCAGUAGUGGUCGACUUGCCAGAGUCGACAUGACCAAUGACCACAAUGUUGAUGUGAGUCUUUUCCUUACCCAUGCUUGAAUAUUAGGUCAAAGAACUGCGAAACAAGAAAAAGUUCACGAAAAAUAAGAAGAGCAAGAGCAGAUAACCAAAAUAUCAUUACUAAAAUUUGUGAAUAACCCUAAUUUUGUUAGAUUCACACAUCUAAAUAACGUUAAAAUUAAAAUAUCCACCACAAUAUCAACUCUUUUGGCUGGAAAACUUGUUGGUUAUAAAAAAAUGAUCGGAACUAGAACAGAGAAAAUAAAUAAAUAAAAAAAAACGAAAAACGACCAACCCAAUCAGCUAGACUAGAUUAAAAGCAGAUCUACGCGAUUGGCAGAACGACAGGGGACGUCUCGAUAGAUUGAUGAACAGAUACAUAAAACUAGCAUAAAAACAAAAGGGCAGGGACAAGAAGAAGAACAGAAGAAAUUAUAAUUCAUGCUAGGAUCUAGACGAGAAAAACAGUAAAAGCUAAAGAAAUAAGAGAGUAUCAAGCAUAUAGAAGAAAGAAAUCGAGAAAAGGAAGAAGAUAGGGGGAAAGCACAACCUGAGGAGAAAUGCUGCUGUUAAACCCUUGCGGCGAGAGAUGGAGAAUGGCAAUGGGAUUGAAGGGGUUAACAAUAGGGUUUGAGGAUCCUUAUAUAUGCAAUGUCUGAAUUCCUUUGUUGACGAAAAUACCCUUAUCAUAAUUUCAACAUUCCUACACAGUGGCUCUCAACAAUAAAAGAUUUUCGAAUUUACCUACUAGAUUCCAAAUAAAAUAAAGUAACAUUUUAGAAUAUAGUAAAAUUUGUCAAAUUCUAUCAAUGAUAUAAAUGUAUCAACGAUAGACAUGUUACAAAUAUUAGUCUAUCACUAAUAGACCAUACGAAGUCUAUAGUUUUGUUAUAUUUGCAAUUUUUUAAAAAUGUUAAUAUAUUAUUAAUUACUAUUCAUAAAAUGAUCAUCAACUACGAUUUUUAAAAAAAGUUCUUUUUUUCUCAACUUUCCAUUUCAAGUUAAAGGUUUAAAAAAUAUCAUCAAAACUCUUGGAAAGGUUAAAAAACAUGUUUAAAAAAUAUAACUAUUAAAAGUUUCAAAAAUUCCCUUGAAUUUAAAAAAUGUUAAAGGAAAAACUUUCUUAAAAUGUAAUAUGAACUAAAAGUGUAAUAUCUCGCUAAAAAAUAACUUUAAAUUAAAAAUGUCUUUAUCGUUAAUACAUUGAAAAUUUUAUUUGAAUUUGUUAAGUUUGAUUAGAUUGACAAAUAUUUGUUUUAUGGCUUUAGAUAUAAAAAUUGUGACAUUGAUGUUAUUUUUAAAAAAUGGAUGAUCUACCAAAAUGUUGAUUAUCCAAUAUACUUUUCCUACGAGUAGUUGUGUUUUCAAUUUCUCAUGUUGGCAUCUUCCUUUAUGUAGCGUGUAGUUGCUUUGGAGGUUAGGGUUGCUUAUUUGUGAUUUCACUGUGCAUAUUUCAAGGACACUUAGUUCUAAGGUUUGGGUUUUGGCGGUUUAGUUUGUUUUAAUAGCAACAUUUGUAUUGUCUUUAUGUAGUAUUUUCAGCUUGUGUUAGAAGAAGAGAGUGCUACGUGUAUUUGAGGCAUACUCCAUUCUCCCUACUACUGUGCAUUGUGAUGUACUGAGAAGAGAUUAUUUAUGUUUAGGGGAUCUUAAAUAUACCAACGAGAUAUUAACAGUUUCAAAUAAAUUUAUUACUAUACUAACGAUAGAGAUAUUUUUAAUUAUUUAGAGUUAGUUUUUGCAACGAGAUAUUAACAAUUUUAGAUCAUAUACUAAUUGUGAGAGUAAAUUUAAAAGAAUAUAUAAUUUAAGGGUGUUUUUUAAAUUUUUCAAUAAUUGAGGAAUAUUUUUAACAAAACUUUAACCUUCUACAUCCAAAACUAACAUUAAGGGUAUUUUCGAACCCUUUUCGAAAGUUUGAGAGUAUUUUUUAAACUGUUGAAAGUUUAGGGGUAUUUUUUACUCAAAAUACAAAAUUGGGGGGUGUUUUUUUUACAAUUUAGCGUUUUUUUUGUGUUUUUUCUAGGCCAAUAUCAAUUUAUACCUCUGAACUUUAGAUGUUGUAUCAAUUUAAACUUUGAACUUUCUUAUAUGCAUCAAUUUAAACUCUCAACUUUCACAAAUGUGUCCAAGUAAAACAUAAUGGACGAUUUAAAAUGAUUCAUGUUAUAAGUGUAAAGUCUAAAUUGAUACAAUUAAUAGUUUAGGGUCUAUAUUGAUACAAAUUUUAAAGUUGAGAGUUUAAAUUAAUACAAUUAUUAGUUUAAGGUUUAAAGUUCAUUGAUAUAAAUUGAAAUUAGCCCAAUUUUUUUUUAAAAAAAAACUUUAAACUAAUUAAAACUACGAGCCACUACCGUGAAGGCAUAAGUGAACCAAAGUAGGAAAGAUCAAGCCUAAGUUUUUCAAUGACUGACUCAACUUUGAAUCACUCUACUUUGUGGUACAGUCAACUCUUCCCUUUUUUAUUGAGUCAAGUUAAGUCGAAGCAACGAGACCUAGUGUCAUGCCCUACUCCAAAUGACUCUUCAUGCGACCAAGUGGAGGCAUGUCGCCUAGACAAUCAAUGCACAACUUCUGCGAGAUGGUACGCUAAACACCUAGUAAGCGGAACUACUUCUUACAGCACAAGGUUAAGCGCACAAUUUGUACUUUAAUGAAACAAGAGAACUUCAUUGAUAGACAAUUUACAAGAGUACAUUUGAUUCCUAUUACACAAAUCGUUCAAAAGAGGACACAGACUCAACAACGACUUGACUUUUCCCCACUUAGCUUCUACAUGCUACACGAGAUAAUAGUAGCCACUACCAAGACAAUGUGAUUUAGGAGGUACGGUAGACGAUCAAGACAGCAAAUUCUAUGUCAGAUGUCCUUUGCUACCUAAGGGGGAUGAAAUAAACAUUAGAAGGGUUGGGCGAAAAUGUCUAGUGAAUGGAAUCUCUUAACAGAUGUUUUAUGUAAAUUAAUCGUUUUUUUACCAGAUAAUCAGCUCCAGAACAGGUAUUAUAGCAAAAUGUGUCGAAUGUCAUUUAUCUCUUACAACACUACUCCGAAGAAAGAAUUUAUUUAAAACAAUAUAAUAGUGUUAAUAAUAAAAAAGAUCAAGAUUGAGGAUAAACACAUUACCUUCGUCAUUUUAUGAGUUUUGUCCUCCCACGUUAUGCAAACUUGUUGGAAGCUUUGGCAAUAGUUGUGGCUGAAUGUUGAAGCAAUCAUUCAAGUACAAUGCUAUUAAGUUAGUAAGUCGAGGGAGGCUUUGUUUGAGCCUUACAAAAGAAUUCUUGCUAAGGUCAAGAAUUUCCAAUAAGAAAAGACAUUUGAUAUCAUCACGAAUAUCUUCGUCCACAAUAUUGCAAUCACUUAGAUUCAAAUCUCUAAUAGGCAAAACAUCAUUACUCCCAACCAAAUCAUUCAAUGACCACCAAAUAUUUUUUGAAAGCCUUUCACAAUUCAAAGUUUCAAGACUCUUUAAACGAGCGAUAGCAUUUGGUGCUUGAUCUAUAAAUGUUCCUCCAUUGUCAAGCAUGGUAAGAGAUUGUAUUGUCCCCAAAGUGAAAGGAAAUUUGGUGGAGGUUUUUGCAGCCAUUCAAAUUGAGAGUUUGAAGUGAUAUCAAUUUUCAAAUUGAUGUUGGAAGACUUGAUAGCUUAGUACAAUCCCUUAGGUUCAAUUAAGUUAAGUGAGCUAGAAGUCCAAAUGAUGAAGGAAGGUCUUGUAUAAGAGUUCCAUCAAGGUGAAGUUCAGUUAAAGUUUUGGUUGGUUUUUCAAUCUUUGGUAAAGAUUUAAGGCAUAAAUUGGAAAGAAUUAAUGUUUGGAAUCUUUUGCAAGUUACUAGUUUAGAUGGAAAUGUUUUGAGAUUGACACAAUUUGCCAUAUGAACUAAAACAAGAUGGUUGAGAGUAGUAAUGGAAGAAUGAAUCACACACAAUCUUGCACAAUUCCUUGACAUCAACCUUUGGAGAUUUGGAAGCUUGGGUCUCAACCAAAUUCUGUGAUCCACUCACAUCAAACUCUUUCAACCUACUAAAUUCAUGUGGAAAACAAGUCCACACCAUCACAUUAGAUACCACUCUACUUCUCAAAUUCUUACCCAAAAAUAAAAGGAGAGUUGAAAAUUUGGUCAUUUGAAAAAGAGGAAGAAAAAUUCUUGAGAGAGAGUCGACUGAGAAAGUUGUUUAGAGAGAAUCUCUACAAGGAAUUUUUUUUUGAAGCAAAUAUUCCCAAUGUAGGUUUUAUUUAUUCACUUUAUUACUAUAUUUAUUUUUUUUCUUUAUCCUAAACAAUUUAAUCAAUGGAAAAUUUAGUUGAAUAGUGCAUUUGGCUCGGAUUUAUUUCCAAGAAUUCAUACCUCAUACGACAAGUCUUUCGGAUUUGAAUCAUUGUUUUUUUCUCUUUCUAAAGGUUGUGAGAGAAUUUAUUUUCUCUCGCUACUUUUUUGUAUAGUUAUUUCUUUUUCUAAAAAGACAAAUCUUUAGUCUUUUUCUUCUCACUAACAAAAAUAGAGAGAAAGAAAAGUGUUUUGUUUUUUAAUUUUUAACUAUCAUAUAUUUGUUUAAAAUAAUAUUAAAAACAUGACAUUAAUAUAAUUGUGAGAGUAAGAUCAACAAAGUAAAUACAAUAUCAAAUUUGGUCCUAACCUACUAUAAAUUAAUAAAUCCAUAUCCUAAUUUUGGUAGAUAAAAAUAAAUCCUACUCAAAUCUUUUAUAAUGAUUUCAUAUGAGUUAUCUAAUAAAUGCUAAUUACUUCUUCUCUAAUAUUCAAUUUUCUUAUUAUACUUAGACAUUACUAAUGUAAAGUGAGGGUGGUACGUUUCCUUUGACCAAAAUUUGAUAUCAUAUGCAUGUUACAUAUACGUGUGUGCAACAUGUAGAGAGUAGUGAAGGGGUGAACAUAGAUAUUGGGGAGAGAUCUACACAAUCAUGUACCAAAUUUAAAUGAUCCUGGUAAACGAUUGUUUAUAUUCGUAAGGAAAGAGAAAUGACAUGAUACUGGAGAUGACGCCGAAGGUAAGAUAUGACAAAGAAUAAAAAAAUUAUGGAAGAGUCACGAAGAAAUUAUGAAUAAGAAGAUGUGGGAAUAUGGAGAAUGAUUAGGACUAUGAUAUAUGAUACCUAAUAAUAUAAAAAAAAUGUGCAAGCAUAACUCGAAAUUCAAAACUAAUAAAGGUAAAUCUAGAUUUUUUUUGUUACACGGAUCAUAAAUAUUUUUUAGUUUUGUUAUAUAUAUGUGUGUUUAAUUAACCAUUUUUUAUUUAUUCAAUCUAAUUUAAUUUUUGUUUUCAUAUGAUUUUUUUUAUUAAUUCAAAUUUUAUUCUAGUGUUUUUUUUAAUAAUUAUAUAUAUAUAUAUAUAUAUAUAUAUAUAUAUAUAUAUAUGACAACAAAUAUGUGUCAUUUAUAUUGUUCACAAAUGACCUUCUCAUUAACCUCUAUGUGAAAACCUAAAUCACUUAUAUGUGACUCUGCCUUCUAGCCAUCGAUCUAUUUUGCUACUUUGGUGAGUAUUCGAUUAAGUUUUGGUACUUCCAUCAAAUAUCUCAAAUAUCUAUUUUUUUUUAAUUAUCCCAAAAAGUUGAUCUGAUUUUAACCAAAAUUGUAAAUCCCAAAAAGUUGAUUGAUUUUAACCAAAAUUGUUGAUUGAGUUAACUAAGCUAAGACGCAUAACUUGAUUGAUAUGAAUGAUUGAAAUGUUAUGACAAAUGAUAUAUUAAUCACAUGACAACGACGUUCCGAUUGAUAUUUAUGUCAUGUUAUAAUAUGUUACAUGUUAUGGACAAGUGUUCUACUAACUUUAUCUAAUUACAAGUAAUUCCUAAAAAUUUACGGUCUUCAAUUAAUACAAAAUAAAUAAAUUACAACGAUUAAUAUCGAUAAAUUAAAAAUUAAUGAAAACAUAGAUUUUAAAAUUAAAAAAAAGGUUGAAAGAUAGAUUAGUAUUAAAUUAAAAAUGAAAGAAUUUAGUUUUUAAAAAUGAAAAAUAAAAUUCAAAAUGAAUAAAGAUUAAAAAAAAGUAUAAUUUAGUUUUUAAGAAUAAAAUUAAAAUUCACAAAGAUAAAAAGAUUACAUGAAUUUUUAUUAAAAAAGUACAAUUUAGUUUUCAGAAAUGAAAAUUAAGAUUCAAAUAGAAUAAAGAUACAAAAAUUAUAUAAAAAAUAAAGAAAAAAAAGUUGAUUUAGUUUUUUUAAAAAAUCAAAUUGGAAAAAGAAAAUAUAUAUAGAGAGAGGUCCACAAAUUCUUUUAUAAACAAAAAUUAUAGAGUUUGAUAAUCUAAAUAAAUUAGGAACUAAUACACAUUCAAGAAGAUUAUAUUACAAAAAAUAUAUAGUUAAUUUUAAGUUUUAGGUAAAAGUAAUAAAUUGAAUAAAAUUUCAAGUAAAUAUUCAAAUAUUAAAAAUUUAAAUUUUAAAUAUACACGUGCAAUUAAAGACUAGUAAAUAUUCAAAUACUAAACACCCAUAUUUCAUUUGGAUUCAUAAGUAAAGUGUGUAAGAAAAAUUAUGAAGGCAAUGAGAAAGGAAUUGGUAAAUAAUGUGUUGAAACAAAAACGAUAAAUGUAUUAAGCAAUAAAUAAGAACUCAUAACAAGUCGUUUGAAAUAAAACAGCCAUAAAACAUAGAAAUUUCAAAGAUAAAAAUGGAAGACUUGCCACCGCCGAUCAAGCACCCAAUUCUGCGAAAAGCUACUCACCGACCAUGGAGGAAACUUGAAGACAUAACCAACCAGACACACACAACACACAACCCAACAACCACAGAACGUAUUAAUAAGCUUCCAGUCAUCAUGAUGAUUAACAUCAAGCCGUUGGCCGCCAACGGCUACUCGCACCAUUCACUUCCCUGAUUUCUUUGCUGCAGACUUGGUGACCUUGGCGCCGGAUGCAUCCUUCUUCUCAACGGCCUUGAUGACACCAACAGCCACAG
rnacentral:lncRNA from 1 species